rnacentral:lncRNA from 1 species
GACAAAUGAAAAAAAUACGAGCUUAGAAUUUAUUCACGAUAAAAACCCUAAUAUCAAAGUAAAACAACCCUAAUAAUCACCUGAGUAGUCAAAUUUCAUCACAGAGCAACAUAGAAAUCAUAAAAAAAAAAACCAUAGAAAUAACCUAAUUUGAAGUGAAAUCGGGUGAAAUCGAGAGGUUUUAGAGAGAGAGAAAAGUCAAAUGGGUUAUUAUUUAGGUUUUGGGGUAUUUGAUAAGAAUGGGUCGGGUUAUAAACGAGAAUGGGUCGGGCUAUAACAUCAACCAAUCAAAGGGCGCGUGCUUAACAACAUGCAACCUUGACUUGGGUUAGGCUGUUAAGGGGUUGAAAUAAUUCACUUUAAAGAUAUUAAGGAGGUAAAUAAACAGAAGUUAAGUUUAAUUACUAAAGUGAGUUGGGAGGACAAGUUCAGGGGAAAAAGAUGUUUUUCUCUAUAUUGUACUAUACUAUAUGAUAUAAUACCAUACCAUACAGUACUGUACAUUAUGAAACCAUCGCAAACUACCAUCCAAACAAAGUGUAAGUUCAAGCCUCAUAGGACUGUAACAAAAAUAAUUUUAAAAUCCUACUAGUUAGCUGCUUUAUUUUUUUUUUUGAUAACACAUGUGAAUAUUACCAUUUCAUCAAGGAUAAACCAAUGUUCUGUACAUCAAUGGAGCAUCCUGCCCAGUCCUAUAAGGAAUUUGGGAGAACCUCAAACAGGAAUUUUUUCUUUUUAAAAAACAAACUAUUACAAGCAUUAGCGAAAAUUCUAUCUAAUAUCCCUGGAUAAUGCAGUGCUUUUUUUUUUAUCCUUUUAACAUAUCUACUUGACCCCUUAUUUCCUAUUUGAUCUGAAGUAUACUACUCUCUGUCUAUACGAUUCUACUUCAAGAAAACUUCCAGUUCCUUGAUAUCCAUACAUGAUAGAUAAAUGCCUAAAAUAUUGCAGUUUCCACCUCUCUUCUAUACUUUCUCUUAUGCUUCAUAGAGUAGUCAGAAAUGGUUUGCAACACUAAACCAUAGCUAGUAGUAACUCCCAUCUAGUUAUGUAGCUCUCCCAUACCUUCUUAGCCUAUGGACAAUCCCAAAGCAGGUGUUGUAUUAUAGUUUCCAAUUCCCCAGAACUGCAGAGACUAUAGUGGGUCUAAUCAAACUCAAUUCCAAGUUAUAAGCAUUCUUUGCUCUGUCAGAAGUCUCUCUUGUGCAGCAAGCCAUAAGAUAAAUCCAUGUUUAGACAUCAAUACAGCAUUUCAUAUUAAUGGAUCCCUGACAUGAGUGUUCUUCUCCCUGAUAGUGCUUCAUAGCUCACAUAAAUAGAAUAUACACCAGAGAUAUUAAGGAUGUACCUACCAUCAUUAUACCAGCUCUGCAUUCCACCUUUAGUUUGAGCAAUUUCCUCCAAUACCAACUAUUGUCAGCAGGUGGUAAAUGAGACCAAAAAUCUUCAUGGUCCUUCAUAAAAAUCCCAUGUACCCAUCUUGCCCAUUACAACUCCUUCCUAAUAUAAAGUUCCCACAUUAGUUUCCUUACUACUGUAAGAUUCCAGCCUUGCCAUUGCUUUACAUUUAGACCUCUCCACUAUUCAGGUGUACAUAUUCUAGCUCAUGAAACCUGAGUCAUCUUUUUCUUGUCCUCUGAAGCCCCCCAUAAAUAAUCUCUACAUCUUUUAUCACUUCAUCAAGUAUGCUCUUAGGCAGAAUAAACACAGAGCCCCAAAAUUAAUGCAUUGAGAACAAUAUGGCUGAGAUUACCUGCACUCUGCCUGUAGAUGUUAGGUGUCUAGCUGACACAUUUUGAAUCCUCUGAGUUAUCUUCAAAAUUAAUUGAUUGCAAUCCUGCUUACUUUAUUUUUUCCAAACUUAACGGGAGGCCAAGUUAUCUGAUAGGGUAUUCACCUCCUGUAAACCUUGCACAUUCAAAUAUGGCAACUCUAGUCCUGCUAUCAACUUCACCUAGGAAUAUACUAGACUCGUCACUAUUUGCUUCAAGACCUGCUGUUGCAUAAAAGAUUUGUAAUGCUUCCAUCACUAUUUUAACUGAAGUUGUAUUGCCCUUAUAUAAUAUCAUAAUGUCAUCUGCAAAUGCUAGAUGAGUAAGUCUCUCACCCUUGCACAUAGGAUGAAAUCUUAAGUCUGAAAGUUGACCCAUCUUAUGUAGAAUCCUUGACAGGUAUUCCAUUACUGAAACAAAUAGCAAAGGGGAUGCAGGGUCCCUUUGCCUUAAGCCCUUUUUACCUAGGAAGAACCCUUACUCUCUCCAUUGAUAUUAAUAGAAAAAGUGGUAGUAGUCACACCCUGCAUUAUAUAGUGUCUCAAUUGACUAAGAAAUUUAUAUCCUUCAAGUAUUUCCUCCACAAACUCCCACCUAACCAUAUCAUAGGCUUUUCUCAAAUCUAUUUUCAUUAUGCAUCUGUGUCACGAUCUAAACCAAGGCGUAACUAUGACGGGUAUCUCAAGUCUAAUAAGGACCGGAGACUACCCCCACAACUAACCAAACAGAACACAAUACCCUCAACAUCAAAUGAAUUCCAAACAUAUAACAAGAUAACAUAAAAUAAACUCAAGAAAUUUAAGAUAUGUCUAUAACCGAUAACCAACCAAACAACUAACCAACAUCAUCACCCAAGAAAGCACUAAUCCAACAAAGCCUUCUAACAACCUGAAAUUAAUAAAGUGUCGGGACAUGCCCCCAACCCUAACAAUGACAAUAUUAAUGAUAAUGUAAACUCUCAAUUCUAAUCUAAGAAUGGAAACUGAUGAAAUUCAAGUCUUUCAGAGAAUGGAAGCUCACCACUUUACCACAACGAAACGAUGAACUGAGCCGAUCCACCUAACUCUGUGCAGAAAAAAUAGAAGUAUCUCCGGUGCCUACAUCGCGUGGGGAUACAAUGUCUAGAGACGGUUGGUGGGGUGAUCAUUGGCAUGAAACUCAGGAAUAGGGGACAAAAUAAUGCCAAGUCUAACCAUUUCAAAUACCAUAUGAACCACAUCAUAAUACAUAUAAAAAUAAUAUACUGGGAUAGGGAACAAAGCUUUAGCCUGGAUUGUGUUGCUCAACCAUCAUGAAAUAAGAAGGCACCCACGAGCUAUAUGGGCCCAGCUUUCCCCCAGCUGGAAGGGCCCCAACGUGUGUAGCCAUACGAACCAGAGGAUGUAUGUAUGCACCAUGGGAGACUCAAACCUCUCGGCAUACCAAGGUGACUAAAGCACCCAAGUCAUGUAAUGUAAUAUGAGGGACUUGAACCACCUACUCAUGUAAAAUAAUAAUAAGGGGGACUCGAAUCACCCAAUCAUGUAGACUCUCACGUCGGCAACCGAGGUUUCUAGUAUUGGUCCCUCGGGACCUCUACUUUCAUGACUCAACUAAAUAGCCUUCAUUAAAGCCCAAUUAAAACAUUUAACAUACAUUCUCAUUUAUUGAAUCAUGAUACGCAUUUAGGCAUACAUUAUCGAUGUCAUCAUACCUUCUACAUUUGCAAGGUAACAUCGACAUGCCAAAAUAAUUAUCAUCACUUCAGAAAAUUCACAACCUUCAUGGUUCAAUUAUACAUUAGCUUGGGGAAUUACACAACCCCAUAAGGUUUAAUUCAAAAUCAUUUUACUUCAUUAGCUUUUCACGUUGUGCAAUACUUCAAGAGUAGUUCACUGUGCAUUCUUUUUAUAUUCAGAACUAAUUUCAGAAUAUGGGGUUGAGGUCAGUAGCACUUUAAUUGUCAAUAUUCACAAAUUGGGGAAAUCACAAUCCCCUAGUUUAUUCACCAUACCCGUGCAUCAAAUCAAUUUUAAAACCGUCAUUUAAAAAUAAUCAAUACAUAUACAAACAAGAAAAUCACAUAAACAAUAAUUAUUCAUUACCCUCAACCCAUGUUCAAAAUCAACAUUAAAAUUUUAUGAAUAAUACUUUAAAAUACAUGUUUUUAGUAAAGUAAUAAUUUGGAAAGAGUAGAAUGCCUGAAAUACCCAAGAUUAUGGGGAGAAUUCAACCCUUGAAGCUCUACUUGACCCAUUUCUUGGAAACCCUAAGUAUGGAUGCUUAAGAGACUUGAGAGAGAAGAAAGAAUAUUUGGAGUGUGUUAUCAAUGAAAAUAGGGCCCCAAGUAUGUUUAUAGGUCAUGAGUUAUUAUUGGGAUAUGAGGAAAAUGUCUAAAAUACCUUCAUUAAAAGAUGGAAAAAUAAAUUAUCAGUCGUUACGGGUCUCAUAACGACUCAUUACGACUCGUCUCCAUGAGUGGUUGUCAAGACAGUGUUACAAGACACACACACUGUUGACCUUAUGACUCGUAUACCGCAUGGCUCGUAAUGAGACCCUACGACUCGUAGGGUCCAGUCGUAGUCAACACAGAAACCAUUUGGGUAUACACUGGACAUCCUACAAUUUACACGCAAUGACCCAUCACAAGUCCUCAUGACUCGUAGUGAGCCGCUCGUACUCAGAGCAGAAGACUUAGCCUCACACACUGGUUAGGCUAUGAUUUGGGUUUAAUGACUCAUCUACGACUCGUAGAGUAAGUCAUGGUCAGGACAAUGAGGAUAAAAUUUUAGGAAUUUCUCAGAGAUCAGCACUGGGGCAUUUCAAUCUAGGUGAUGUCUUCCUCUUGUAGUGUCUCAUUAGAUCACAACGCAUUAACACAAUAUAGAUAAGUAACUUUCCAUAAUUAAAUGCAGCCUGAGUAUGACUAAUUAAUGUAGGAAAGACAAGCUUCAUUCUAGUACAUAAAAUCUUUGAAAUGCACUUAUAUAGGACAUUACAACAUGAUAUGAGUCUUUAUUGGCUAGCAUUAACAGAAUUGUCAACUUUGGGAAUCAAUGUAAUGAUGGUAGCAUUAAUUUAAGUGAGAAGUUUACCAGUCUUAAAAAAUUCCAUUGCCAAAGCCAUCUGACCUUGGGUUGUUGUUCACAUUAAUGGAGAACACAACAUCCUUCACCUCUUUAGCUGCCAGGGGAAGCAUCAAACCAAGUUAUUGAGAUGUCUCCAAAGCAGGUCCUGUAUAAAAUCAGUCUACACGAGCCUUGCUCCUAGCCCCAUCCACAGCACCUAAUAGCUUUUGAUAGUACUUGAAAAAUACCUCAGCUAUCAAUUCUAGUUAAGUCUUCAUCAAACCUAUUCUCAUCUUUCACCUGUGUGAUAGCUUGUGCCAGUCUUUUUUCCUUAAUAAUAGAGUGCAAAUAUCUUGUAUUUUCAUCUCCUAAUCUCACCCAUGUUGCUUUACUUUUUUGCAAUUAAAAGGAUUCAUCUAGAAUUUAUAAGUCUUUAAAUCUGGUACAAGCUUGUUUUUUCCUGCUCUUGAAGCAACACAUAGGAAGGAUCCAAUUGCAGUUUGAUCUAAGCAAGAUACAUAUUCUCUCUUUAUGCUUCCACCUUUGAUAAGAUACCCCUAUAAUGUCUAGUAUGCAAUAUAUUCAGUUGUGUCCUUAACAUCUUUAAUUUCUUAACCACCUUAAACAUAGUAAACCCCUGAAUCUGGACCUCCCAGCUCUUCUUUAUUAUUACCUAAAAAUUAGGGUUAUAGCUUCAGAAGUUGCAAUAUUUAAAUUUUGGUUGCCUCCUCCUCUGUUGUUGUAGUAUAGUUAUAUGAGCAGGACAAUGGUCACUUACACCCUCAGAUAGGUACUGAUACACACAAAAAGGCAUAUUAUUUAUCUAAUCACCAUUCACCCAAACCCAAUCAAUCUUGGAAAUCCAUCACAUCUGCAUGUGUAACUAGAUUACCUUCUCUUCUAUUUCUUUAUUUAGGACAUCAUUAAAGUCCCCCACAACUACCUAAGGUCCUAUAUAACCAGAUCCAAUACCACGCAAUUCCUUCCAUAAUUAUUUUCUCUCCUCUUUUCUGUUGUAAUCAUAAACAUAGUUCAUUAUAAACUCCUUCUGGAAUAGUUUACACAACACCUUGCAAGUGACAUCCUGUGCUGAGUUUUCCAAUAAUGUAAUAUGAUAUAUGUGUGGCUUCCAGACUACCACAGUCCUCCCAUUAUAAUGGGAUGCUAAGUUUGUGAGAUAUUCCACCCAAAGAAUAUAUUAGACAUACUACUCUCCAUAUUAGUUUCUAAUAACCCUACCAUACCAGCUUCUUUAUUUUUUCAGAAAAGAGCAACCUCUUUUUGUUUAUUAUGGCCACUUAGGGCUCUCAUAUUCCAACUAAUAAAAUUAACCAUUCCUUAAAGGAGCAAUUAAGUCACCUAUAUUUCCAACCUAACCAAGUUGUAAAUCCUACACCUGAGGGUCUUUAUCCUGCAGUUGGUAAGUGUUUUUUAUUAGCACACCUUGCUUCAAUGUAGCUGGAGAUUUUGCAGUUUUGAUUGGAAGAGCCCAAGUCUACUCACUCCCCAGUACCUAUCCCUAUGUACCUCAUGAUAUUGAUCAGUAUCCGCCUUCUUCGACUCGCCCUUUUCCUCCUUGAUUGGUACAUUAGUCACUUCAACCUUCUUUGUGUCUUUCUUAUGCACCUCAGCCUUCUUUUUCUGACAUACUUCCUCAAUGUGCCCAUAUUUAUGGCAAGCCUUGCAAAUGGAAGGAUGCUAGUCGUAUGUUACCUUCUGUGUGACCAACAUUCCCUUCUCAUUACAGAACAUAAUUCCCUUAGGUAGAUUCUCCCCCAUUUUCACCUCAACCAGCAAUCGAGCAUAAUUCAGCCCCAUCUUCUUCUCCGUAUACCGACCACCAUUAUUGGCUUCCCUAUUAGGCCACCCAAUUUUCUUAAUCCUUUAGCACUAUAACAUUUGAAUUCAAGCCCUAUAAAUCAAAUCCUGAUUGGAAUUGAGUGUAAUUCUUCACUAGAAAAAUCCAUUUCCUCACUCCAUGCCUUGACAAUACAUAGUUUAUUUGUCAAAAUGCACAAUCCCUCUUGUAGCACUUCAUCCCUACUCUAUACUGUAUCAAAUUGCAGUAGGAUAAUUCUACUUUUCAACAUGAACCAUUGUUGAUUCAAUAUUUCCCCCACAUCCUUUGAACAAAUCCAUUUAGCAUUGCAAAAGGAGGAUGAGCUCCGAGAACAUAGCAAGCUACAGCCGACUUCCAGUAAUCAAUCUCCAAGUUAGUGUCUUCUAUAUCAGUAUUAAUCUGCUUACCUCCCUUCAAAUCAGGCUUAACAUACUCUAUUUUAAACCCAGCAUUAGACAUUUUGGAAGUAUCAAAUUUCUCCCAAAUUGAAGGACUAUCCGGCUUUACCUGAGUCACCUGGGCUUCCUCUUCUUCCACAGCACCUGCCCAUGUUUGGGUUUGUACUGAUUGCAGAGUAAAACACAUCGACCCAUUUCCUCAAAGUAUCCUGACCUGCUUUCAAUUUCUGUUCUGUCAAUUUUGGUGAUACAUUAAUUUGAGCAUCAUUAUGUCUUACUAUUUUCUCCAUUUCCUAACUACGUAGAGUACGCACUACUCCAAUACUAGUUUUCCCCUCUCUAAUUUGCCCUGGAACCUUGCCCAAUGCCAAUGGUUUUGCUCUCCUGCCCAUGGCUGGCGUACAUUAGAACAACGUGCACUCUAAGAGAGAAAAAUCGUCUGGACUUUAGCUACUUUAUUUCUGAGGCAUAUUUUCAAUAGUUAUAGCAAAGAAUAUUUCCUACAUUCAACUAGAGUUUUCUUUUUUAUAUAAUUAAGUUGACUUACAAUAAGAAAUAACACUUCCUACCGAAUUUAAUAACGUAAAACUUAAGAAAAUAAAGUAAUAAUUUGUUGUAGUGAACUUUGCAAGUUGCAAAUAAAUUGAUACUUAUCACAAGAGAUGCCUCAAUAGAUUUAUGGCCUAAAAUCAAAAUAUAUUAAAGGUCCCUAAACUUGUUUUAUAAACAAUCGGGUUAGGAUCCCCUCUGUUGAUCUUUUGCUCCCGUAUUCCUCAAUGAAGGUAUGGGACUGUGUCAACUCAGAAUAUCUGAAGACUCUAAUUGAUUUGUAGAUGUGUAAGGGCCUUCAAUGGGCAUUACGCAAUGUCAGGCGGGUUCUCGAUGCAAUUAUCAAACACAAUGAGAAAUUCUUUUUAAAAAGGAACAAUGAUGAUGAUAUAUAUGUUAAACAACAUUUUUCAGUGAACAAAUGUCUCCCCCUUUCAAAAGAAAUCAGAUAGAACACACAGGAAUGUCUAAAUAAUAAUUGAGAAGUAGUCUGUAAGGAACGAGAAUCUGGUUAUUGCGGAAUUUAGCCAAAUAAUCUUAUAACAACAAUAAUAAAGACAAUAACAAGUUGAUAGUGACAGUAUUUAAAAAAAUAAAGGAGGCACAAAUUUAGCGUGGUUCGGUCAGUGUGACCUACGUCCACGAGCAGAGAGGAACAACUUCAUUAUAUCAACAAGAGUACAAUAGAGAGAUUACAAAAUUAAAGUAGUCACUCUAAUUAACCCAAAUAUCCCAAGAGAACAACCUCACAAGAUCACUCCAAAAGAAAGGGCUCACAAAAGUGUUUCCCAACACCCACUCUCUAACUAAAUACUCUAAUAGAAAGGGAAAAUAGAUACAAGAGAAUGAAAGAAAACUCUUGAAAAUUGAUAUGUUACAAAUGAGAAAGAAGGCCACUAUUUAUAGAGAUAAAAAUGGACUUGUUGAUGUCAUCCAUAAUGAAAAUGAAAGAUGUAAAUUUCAACAUUUGCAUGUGAAUGGAAGAAAUUUUCAACAAAAUCUUUGGUAGCAAUUUUGUUUGAACAAGUAGCAACUUUGUUAGAAAAAUCCAAAAAAUAAUCUUUCAAAAAUAUUUGGUAGCAACUUUCCUUGACAAAGCAAGUGUGAAUCAUAGAAUAAACAAAGGCCACAUUACAAAUCUCCACCUUGACUUGAGUUUGGUUAAUAUAGUAAAUUUCCUUUCUCUCCGCAAAAGCCCAUGUGGGAAAAAUCAUUCUUCACAAAUGGCAAUCAGGCUCAAGAAAAGCUUGAAUUUACUGACCGAAAGACACUUUGUGAACAUGUCUGCAGGAUUGUCUCUAGUGUUGAUCUUCUGAACAGAGAGCUUUCCUUCAAUAAUAGAUUCCCGAAUAAAAUGAUACUUGAUGUCAAUAUGCUUCGUCCUCUCAUGAUACAUUUGAUCUUUAGUCAAGUGGAUUGCACUUUGACUAUCACAGAAAAUAAUAAUACCACCUUGGUGUGGACUGAAUUCAGUAAAUAGACCCUUCAACCAUAAGGCUUCUUUGAUAGCCUCGGUCACUGCCAUAUAUUCUGCAUCGGUAGUAGAUAAAGAUACUACGUGUUGUAAUAUAGCUUUCCAACUAAUAGCACAACCACCAAUGCAAAAUACAUAGCCAGUCAAUGAUCUUCUUUUGUUAAGAUAACCUGCAUAAUCUGAGUCUACAAAACCAACCAAAGUGUUAGUAUUUCUUCCGAAUUCCAAACAUGCAUUUGAAGUACCACGCAAGUAUCUGAGAAUCCAUUUCACCGCCUACCAAUUUGCUUUUUCAGGAUAAGCCAUAUAUUGAAUUACCACACUUACUGCUUAUAAAAUAUCUGGAUAUGUACAUACCAUUGCGUACAUAAUAUUGCCAACUGCACUAGAAUAUGGUACAUGUGUCAUAUACCUUUCUUCUUUCUCUGACUGUGGUGACUGAGCAGCUGAUAACUUAAAAUGAGCAGCACGAGGAGUACUUACUGGUUAGCUUCUUUUAUGCCAAACCUCUCCAAGACCUUCUCCAAGUACUUCUUCUGGGUCAAAAAUAGCUUGCGGGCUUCUCGAUCUCUUCUAAUCUCCAUGCCAAGGAUUUUAUUAGCUGCUCCCAAAUAUUUUAUUUCAAAUCCACUUUUCAGUUGACUUUUCAAAUUAUGAAUUUCUGUUAAAUCCUUAGCAGCAAUGAGCAUGUCAUCGACAUAUAAUAGUAAGUAAACAAAUAAACCAUCAUUUAACUUUUGAAAGUAAACACAACUAUCAUACAUGCUCCUUGAAUAACCAUGACCCAACAUAAAGAAAUCAAACCUCUUAUACGACUGUCUUGGGGAUUUUUUUGAUCCGUACAAGAAUUUCUUUAACAAGCAAACAUGAUCUUCCUUUCCUUCAAUUUUAAAUCCUUCAGGUUAUUGCACGUAUAUUUGUUCCUCAAGUUCGUCAUGUAAGAAAGUUUUGCUUAACAUCAAGCUGCUCUAAUUCUAAAUCAUGCAUGGCAACUAAGGCAAGCAAGAUACGAAUAGAGUUAUGUUUAACAAUAGGUGAGAAAAUAUCAUUAAAAUCAACUCCUUGUAUCUAACUAUAGCCCUUUGCAACUAAUCAUGCCUUAUACCUUACAUCUUCAACCCCUGGAAUUCCAUCUUUUUUCUUGAAAACCCAUUUGCAACCAAUGAUUCUGCUUCCUGAAGGCGGCUUCACAAGAGACCAAGUAUCAUUCUUAUAGAGAGAUUCAAUUUCUUCAUUCAUUGCAAUCAGCCACUUGUCUGAAUCACCACCAGAAACUGCUUCUGAAUAAUUUGAUGGUUCUCUAAUUUCUUCAGUUUCCUGUGCAACUGAAAAAGUAAAUGCAAAAAUGCAACAUAAUCUCCAUACCUUUCUGGUUUGUGAAUUUGUCUUCUUGGCCUAUUUGUUGCUAUGGAAUACUCAUUUGGUUCAACUUCAGAAGUCAUAACUUCUGGCUCAACUUCUAUAGUUUCAACUGUAUUUUGUUUCGCAGUUGAUAAGCUUGGCUCAGAAGGUAUGCCAAGCUCAAUCUCCACCUGUUCAUACAUAUCAUGAUCUUUGCUCUUGGUGCAAGAGCUAGAAGACUCUUUUAUGGAAUGUAACAUGGAGGAUUCAUCAAAGGUUACAUUUCUGCUAAUUAUAAAUUUUGGUGACUUGGGAUAAGGCACCAAAGUUUGUAUCCUUUUACCCUAGUUGCAUAUCCAAGGACAAUACACUUUGUAGCUCUUGGCUCUAAUUUUCCAUCAUUUACAUGCAUGUAAGCAGGACAACCAAAAACUUUUAAGUCAGAAUAAUUAGUAGGUGUACCUGACCAUAUUUCCUCCAGAGUCUUGAAGUUCAAAGGUGCAGAAGGAGCACGGUUGAUAAUAUAACAAGCUAUAGAGAUAGCCUCUACUCAAAAAGCAUUUGUCAACCCAACAUUUGAAAUCAUGCAACAGGCUAUUUCCAAAAGAGUCUUGUUCAUCCUUUCUGCAAUACCAUUUUGUUGAGGUGUCAUUCUCACAGUUCGAUGUCGAGAAAUUCCUUCAUUUUUGCAAAAUUCAUUGAACUCGUCAUUACAAAAUUCCAAGCCAUUAGCAAUUCUAAGCUACUUGAUCUGUUUUCCUGUUUGUUUCUCAAUCAAAACUUUCCAUUGUUUGAAAGUUAAGAAAAUAUCACUUUUGUUUUUAAGGAAAUAAACCCAAACCUUCCUUGAAUAAUCAAUAAUAAAAGUUAACAUAUACCUGGCACCACUUUUUGAUGAGGUACGGGAAGGACCCCAAAGAUCUGAAUGAAUAUAGUCCAAAGUAUCUUUUGUUCGAUGAACUGCUAGAGAUUUGAAGCUGACUCUUUUCUGCUUUCCAAACACACAAUGUUUGCAAAACUUUAUUUUUUUCGAUACUUUGUCCACACAGUAGACCUCUUUUGCUGAGGAUGAAAAGACCUUUCUCACUCAUAUGUCCUAAUCGCAUAUGCCACAAUUUGGUGAUGUCGGGAUCAAAAUAAUUUAAAGUAAAAACUGCAGCAGCACUUGUAACAGUGGAUCCUAAUAAAGUGUACAACGUACUUGAUCUGUGUGCUUUCAUGAUCACAAGAGCGCCUACAGAGACUUUCAAAACUCCACAUUCACCUGUGUAUUUACACUCAAGGGAUUCUAGAGUGCCCAAUGAAAUGAGAUUUUUCUUCAAGUCAGGAACAUAUCUAACAUUGGUGAGAGUUCUUACCACACCAUCGUGCAUUCUAAUUUGGAUGUACCUUUACCAAAAAUUUUGCAAGGAGCAUUGUUGCCCAUCGUUAGAUUUAAAACUAUUAUUAGUUGUCAAAAAUAUUGUUCCCUUAGACUCAUCAGCAGCUACAAUUGCUUCGGUAGAGUUAGUAUUUUGGUGCUUAUUUUUGUUUUCCUUAUGCUUUUCUUUGUUUUUCAACUUAUAGCAUUCAGAAUUAAUAUGACCUUUCUUAUGACAAUAUUUGCACACAAUAUUUCUAGAUUUAGACUUUGACCUUGAUUUAGACCUCUCACUAUUUGAUUCUUUCUUAUUAGAUCUACCUCUUACAAACAAUCCUUCCCCAUUGGUUGCGCUACUUUCCCCGGUAAUAUCUCUAUCUAUCUGUUCCUUUGUUUUUAAGAUAGAUUUAAUUUCUUUGUAAGAGAUAUUAUUCUUUCCAUAAAGCAUAGUAUCUCUAAUAUGCUUAAAUGAUUGGGGUAAAGAAAUAAGUAAUAAGACGGCUUGAUCUUCAUCAUUAACUUCAGCGUCUAUAUUACUCAAAUCCAUAAGAAUAGAAUCAAAAGCAUCAAGAUGUGAAAGUAUAGAAGUACCUUCAACCAUAUGAAAUAUGUAAAGCUUUUGCUUCAGGUAAAGUCUAUUUUCUACUAUCCUCUUCAUAAACAAGGUUUUUAGUUUUUUCCACAUGCCUUUUUCCGUGGUUUUUACAGUACUUUACGUAAAACCUCAUUUGAGAGAUUUAGAAUGAUACCUGAUUUUGCCUUUUUGUCUAUGACGGCAAACUCUUCGUCCUUCGUACUUUCAGGCUCCUUCUCUUUUCCUUCCAGUGCCAGAUCUAAGCCAUCCUAAAUUAGGAUAGCUUCCAUAUUUAGUUUCCACAUUUCGAAGUUUGCACUUUGAUCAAAUUUCUCAACGUAAGUCUUUGUUAUAGUCAUUUUGGCUACUUAAAAAAAACCUGGUUAGAUCCGGCUCUGAUAUCAAUUUGUAAGGAUCGAGAACGCGGUUAUUGAGGAAUUUAGCCAAACAAUCUUAUAAUAACAAUAAUAAAGACAAUAACAAGUUGAUAGUGACGGUAUUUAAAAAAAUAAAGAAGGCACAAAUUUAACGUGGUUCGGUCAGUGUGACCUACGUCCACGAGCGGAGAGGAACAACUUCACUAUAUCAACAAGAGUACAAUAGAGAGAUUACAAAAUUAGAGUAAAUAUCCCAAGAGAAUAACCUCACAAGAUCACUCCAAAAGAAAGGGCUCACAAAAGUGUUUCUCAACACCCACUCUCUAAUUAAAUACUCUAAUAGAAAGGGAAAAUAGAUACAAGAGAAUGAAAGAAAACUCUUAAAAAUUGAUAUGUUACAAAUUAGAAAGAAGGCCCCUAUUUAUAGAGAUGAAAAUGGACUUAUUGAUGUCAUCCAUGAUGAAAAUGAAAGAUGUAAAUUUCAACAUUUGCAUGUGAAUGGAAGAAAUUUACAGCAAAAUCUUUGGUAGCAACUUUGUUUGAACAAGUAGCAACUUUGUUUGACAAAUUCAAAAAAUAAUCUUCCAAAAAUAUUUGGUAGCAACUUUUCUUGACAAAGCAAGUGUGAAUCAUAGAAUAAACAAAGGCCACGUUACAUAAUCUCUUAUAACAAAUCCAAUCAAUUAAACAAGACUGAUAAGGGGAAAAUUCUAUUGGACUUCUAACAGAAUGCCUAUCAGAAGACCAAAUUAUGUAUCCCUGGGAAUGUCCUGUAAUAUCUGAUGACUUAAAUGUUACAUUAUAAGAUGCCUUCUGAUUCAACGCUGUGAAUUUCAAGAUGUUGGGAUUAACAGUCACCGUGAUGCCUUUGAGUCCAAAUAUUUUAACUGUGUAAGCUGAAAUUGCUUCUCCGACGUUAGUCACAGUCCUCGUAUAUGUCUGAUCACUUGAUUCCUUAGGAAUAGAAAAUGAAGGGUAGUUCAACUCUGAUUGAGGUAUCCUUGAUGUACAAUGUACCUUCUUUUUCACAAUGGCACUGACUUGAUCAUCUGUGUAGUUCAAGCCACACAAGUAUGGGAUGUAAUCUUCAGGCUGGAUGUCAUAAACGAGUCCUGGAUCAUUUGCUCUUGAUGGAUUCACAUGCCCUGACCCGAGUGUAAGUAGGUCAGCAGGUUGAAGUGUCUCGUCCUGAAUUGGAUCGUUUCCAAGGUUGAUGAAAUCAGCUGUGGUCAUGAUUGCGGAUUUAACUGCAGCUGGAGACCAAUCUGGAUGUGCGCUCUUUAAUAGUGCUGCAACUCCUGCAAGGUGAGGGCAAGACAUCGACGUUCCAGAAAGGAAGUUAAACGACCAUGAUGAAGAUGAGGAUGCUGUCUCGACCUCUAUAGAGGCUGGCCACGCUGCUAGGAUAUUCACUCCAGGACCAAUAAUGUCGGGCUUUAGUAUGCCCGGACUCUGCACAAAUGGACCCCUGGAAGAAAAGUAAGCAACUGUUGGUGCGUGCUUGUCUCCAAUUCUCGUUCCCUUGAAUGAUAUUGUAGCAACUGGUUUUGAUGUUGAUUUCAUAUAGUUUAUGAUCAUUUUUCCGUUGCUGUAACUAACAUGUGUCGUGGGAAGGACAUGAUAUUCUGAAAUUGUUGUAGAGCCACGAGACUCUUCAUUCAUGAGAAUCAUGCCAGCACCACCGGCAUUUUUCACUACUCCUCCUUUGUCAAUUCUAGACGAGUAUCCACUUGUAUCACACAACACUAUUUUACCCUGGACAUCGCUUAAAUUCAACAAUACAUCACAAUCGUUACCAUUCACGAGUGGUAAAAAUUUUCGUGAAAAAUUUGUUGGCUGGAAGGCUGAUUCUCCUUCAUACUCUGCUCCGUUACCCAAAACUGCUACCGCACUUAUCUUUCUAUCUGUUGUGCUAGCACCAACGGUUACAAUCCAUGGGGCUCCGUUUAUUACACUACCAUUACCUGGUCCAUCAUUUCCUGCAGCAAAACUUACAAAAAUCCCCUUCUCCAUCGCACUGUAUGCACCAACUGCCAUAUAAUCAUCAUAUAAAGGCGGAGACUCGUCUAAUCCAAGUGAAAUGGAAAUCACAUCCACACCAUCUUCAAUUGCAGCGUCAAAUCCAGCUAAGACAUUGGAUUCUUGACAAUCAAGAUAACAGACUUUGUACAUGGCCACAUGGGCUCGUGGCGCAAUGCCAACAGCCGUGCCAUUAGCAUUACCAAAAAAAUUGGCACCAUGCACAAAGUUCCCCGCAGCUGUGCUUGAAGUAUGUGUUCCGUGCCCAUUUUCGUCCCAAGGGGACAUAUCCGGCACAAAAUUUCUGGCUCCAAUAAGUUUAUUAUUACAAUAUGUUGUAAUGUUGAACUCACAUUUGCCUUUCCAUUUAACAGGUGGAUUAGGCAUUCCAAUUUCAUUAAAAGAAGAAUGUUGAGGAGUAAUUCCAGAAUCUAAUAAACCAAUAAUCACACCGUUGCCUGAAUUUGAUGCAUUCCACAAGCCAACAUUCUGAUGCAAGCCAAGGAAACUUGGACUGUGUGUGGUGUGCAUCUGAAGUACACGUUGGGGACGCGCUGAUACAAACCAGGCUUCUUUUCCAUUUCCUUCACUUCAGUUGAUGACAAAGUAGCAGCAAAACCAUUGAACACAUGACGGUAAGAGUAUGAAAUGCGCGAUGAAUGAUUUGAAUUUGUAGGCAAAAAUGAUUGAUGCCAGACAUGUAAAUCUUUUGAAUUAGAAAGAACUUGAUCAUGAAUUUCAAGAUGUACUAUAUAAGUUUCAAAAUCACUUUGAUUAGUGAAAUGGUCACCAAAUGCUUUUGAUGAAUGCAAUAGGACAAAGCAGAGAAAGGUAGAAAUGAGUUUCAAAUCCACGUUUUUUUUCUGGGUGACUAUCAGAUUUUCCAUUACCAUAUAAUAGUACGAAAACUCUUAAUUUAUUAUGGUCCAGUUUGCUGCCAAAUAAUCCAUAGUUAGUAAGUUGACUGAAAAUAAGAAUAAUAUAGUCAAUAUUACAAGGAAGAAAAUUAAAUGGAUUCUUGGCUAGUCAUCAGUUUAGACAUAUAUAAUGCAGUUCAAUUACCAUAUAAUAGUAUGAACACUCUUAAAUGCCUAAUCUAUAUAUUGUUGAUUAGAUCAUACUUAAUUUAUUAUGGUUAGUAAUUCAGUUUGCUUCCAAAUUAUCCAUAGUUAGUUGAGUGAAAACAAGAAUAUUAUAGUCAGUAUUACAAGGAAGAAAAUCAUACAAAUUCUUGGAACUUAGUCAAUAGUUAGUAAGUUGACUGAAAACAAGAAUUUAGUCAAUAGUCAGUAAGCUUGACUGAAAAUAAGAAGUGUAGUCAAUAGUUUAAAAUUUUCUUACAGUCCUUUAAUCUUCUUUAUGGAUAUCCUUACAAAGAAUAUGAAAAUAAGAACAGUAUAAUGAUAGUUUAAAAUUUUGUUUAUUACCAAAAAAAAAGUUUAAAAUUUUGUUUGCUUGAACUUACAGUCCCAUAAUCUUCUUUAUGAAUAUCCUAACAAAAAUAAGUAAAAGCUCCAUAAAUUCCUACUCUUUUGGAGUUAAUUAUUUCUUAUGUCACUCUUUUUUCAAAACUAUUAAACUUUUCUCAUUUAAUCGACAAGAAUAUAUCACAUUCUUCCGAAUAAAUCACUUAAUUUGCACAGAGACAUUACAUUCUUCUGAAUACAUUAUUUAAUUUUAUAUGGAUACAUCACAUUCUUCCAGAUAGGCCAUUUAAUUUUACAUGAAUAUAUCAUAUUUUCCUGAAUUCGUGAUUUAAAUUUACACGAUGUAUCAAAUUCUUCUGUAUUAUAUCUAAGCUUUUAAGUAAAAUUAAAAAUUUAUGUAAUUAUUUAAAAAGAAUUUUAAAUAAUUAUAAUAAAUUAAAUUAUGGUAUAAUGUAAUUUUUUCAAAAAGUAAUCUAAAUUUGGUAAUUAGUAUUCUUUGACCGAACAGAGGAAUACAAACUCACACUUACUUGAUAUUUUGACUUCCCAUAUUACACUUGUUUCGUGUAGAUACCUCAACUCCGUGAAAGUUUUUGUGAUAGAUAAGACUAUGGAUGUUCACUGUUUGGGUAAAAGCAGAUCUAAAUUAAAAAACGAACCAAAUCGAUUUUCGUUUGAUUUGGUCUUACAUUUUUAAAAAUCUAUAAUAUUCGUUUCAUUUUAGUUUUGUCUAAAAAGAAGCUGAAAAACAAUCGAUCGAAUAUAUAUAUAUAUAUAUAUAUUACUUUUAUAAUGUCACGAUCCGAACCGAGGUCCUGACCGCAAAGAGUUACCCGAACCAUGAAGGUCCGAGAGACCUCUUAACUUAUAAUUAUAAGCAUAACUCAUCUAUUAUUAUAAUGCAGAAGUAAACUGAAAACAUAGUAGUUCUAUUAUUUCAACUUAACAAUACGGGACAUAAGUUCAAAAGAAACUCAACACCAUCUAUAACAAGUCUACAAAGUCUCUACUAAACUGAAAGCAAUAAUCUAUCUAAAACCAAGACAAAGCCCCCGGUCGGACCAUGAACUAAAAUCAAAUGAAGUAAACACAUGGACAAAGGCCUUCCGAAAUAAGGGAGGCUCACCAACUCCAAAUAUUUGACAAUGAUCUACUAAUUAGCAGGAUCACGGGACUGGGCCUCAGAACCUGAAAUAUAAGGGGUCAAUACACAAAGAUAUUGGUAUGUGAAACAAUCUAAAAUAACAUAUUUUUAUACAAUAUAGGUGAAAGUAUUUCAUAAAAAAAAAAUAUUUAGCAUAAGGUAAACAAAAACACAUGGGCUUAACUUAAAAGCAUAAAAAUAUUUUCUUGAAAUUAUGACUCAACUCUUCAUUUUACUUCUGAGCUAGAUGGUACACCCUACAAACAUACUUAUCCAUGGGCUAUGUGGACUUCACCCUUAACUCGGAGGCCAAGCCCCCAAUCCGAAUUUGCCGCAAGGAUUGGGGUUGUCAUGCGUACUAUGCCAUAAGGUCGUCGCCAGCUUACAAUCCAUAAUAUACAGCAUCAUAAACCUCUAUCGACAAAACACGGUUUCGGGCUAAGAGUUAUCUGAACUCAAGCCUUUUUAAAAAAAACAACUAGCUCUCUUUAAGCCCAAUUUUAGUCCUUUAAGACCAUGAUUCAUUCUCUUAAAACGUUCAAUACUUAUUCUGUUAAGGGCAUAUCAUCACCGGAUAUCGUCAUACCCAGACUUGCAAGUCAGUCAUAUCGCACCAUAACGUAUUCGUACCCUUUUUAUUUAUGAUCAUGUUAUUGACCACCCAAAAACUUUAAACAUCACGUGAGAGAGUCUUGCUAUAGAUUUUCAUAUGAGUUUUGCCCAAAAACACUCUUUUCAAUAUUACAAUCAUAUGGUGGCCAUCUUAUGUUCGCAUUACUUAAAACCCAUGAAAUCUUUCAAUAGACACAAUGAACGUUUACAACAAGAAAAAUACCCCUCUUCACGUCAUAGACAAUACUAAUUGAUGAACUUUAGAAAGGAAUUCAUUCUCUAGUAUUCUUUCAAAAAUCAUGCAUUUGUACAACCCACAACACUUGAAAUCAAGAAACAUCAUGAUGAGAGAGGGAGUUUCGUUAUUCAUGCUCUCAAUUAAACUUUUCAAAACUGAAAACACAUAUAUAUACGUGAUAAUAAUUCAAUUCUUUGAAAGAAGUUCAAGACGACAUAUACUUUCAUCAAAACAAAUUCAAGAUACAUGCUAUUCAAAACGAUAUCAAAAACCCUUUUCGUAAACAUGAUUAUUAAUCUUUAAACUUGAUGAAUCGAUAAAACUUAUGCCCAUGGAGUUUAGGAUAGUCCCACAUACCUUAAGUUUCUUAACUUAGGAAUAAAACCCUAAUCUUGAUGCUUUCUUGAAGAUUCUUGAACUUAGGGAGCUUGAAUUUUAGAUUAUUUCGAAAAAAUGAGUUGAUUUUUUGUUCUUGGGGGAAAGAGAGGGUUUUCUUGAGAGUGAAUUAGAGAAGAAGGGCAAAUAUUGUCCUAAUAGAUGUCCUAAUUCAUGUUAUGGACGAUUUGGGUUCGGGGAAAAGACCCAAUUGCCCCUCAACCAUUUAAACCAGAACUGGAUGCAACAACGUCACCGUGAUGUGGUCUUAUCGCAGUAGUUUAUUUCCCUCACUGCAAUACGGUCUAUAUGACAAAAAAAUAACACCGCGUCGCGGGAUUAUUGCGAUAAUCCUCUGGUUUCGUGAUCCAAACAUGACCCAAACCCCAUCUAAAAUCUAAAACUUUUCCGAGAUAUGUUUCGAACAUGAAUUAACUCAAAACCAAUAUCUCCGGGUCGGGACGACCAAGUUAAAAAUCCUUCAAGUUUAGAAGCCUUAAAAAUGACUAAAUCCCUAACACUUCGUGAAAGUUUCAGGCCUUAAGCCCCUUAUUCAUAAAACUAAUAGCUGAAUAAAUUCAAAAAUAAUAUGAGGUGUUACAUUAUCUCCCCUUUGGGGUCAUUCGUCCCCGAAUGAAGUUCCUAAGCACACUAAGCACAAUUUUUAAGCAGUACAAGAAUUAAAAUGAGUAGGAUAAGAAUGAUACCUUCCAUAUCAUCAUCUGCGGAUUCAAAGAGAGUUGGAUAUCUUGCACGCAUGUUAUUCUCUGACUCCCAAGUAGUUUCCUCAAUAUUAUGAUUCUUCAACAACACUUUCACCGAAGCUAUUUCUUUACUCCUCAACUUAUGAACUUGGUGAUCUAGUAUAGCUAUGGGUUCUUCCUUGGAUAAGAAAUCCUUCACCCCGAUUUCUUCAACAUUCAACACAAGCGAAUGAUCUCCAAUACAUUUUUUUAGCAUUGAUACGUGAAAUACAGGAUGAACAGAAGUUAGACUGGCAAGAAAAUCUAACUCAUAAGCAACUCCACCAAUCCUCCUGGUAAUCUGAUAUGGGCCUAUAUAACGGGGACUAAGCUUUCCUUUCUUUCUGAAUCUCAUGACUUCCUUAAUAGGGUAGACCUUUGGAAACACCCAAUCAUCAACCUCAAACGCUAACUCCCUUCUUCUAAUAUUGACAUAGGACUUCUGACAACUCUGAGCUGUCUUAAGUCGUUCUCUAAUAACUUUUACCUUCUCUAUCGUCUGAUGAAUAAGGUCAGGCCCAAACAAACGAGUUUCACCCACUUAAUACCACCUAAUCGGUGAUCUACACCUUUUUCCAUAUAGAGCCUCAAAAUGAGCCAUUUAGAUGCUGGAGUGGCAACUAUUGUUAUAGGUAAACUCUAUCAAUGACAGAUGAUCCACCCAACUACCUUUAAAUUCAAUCACUCAAUCCCUCAAUAUAUCUUCUAAGGUCUGAAUAGUGCGCUCUGCUUUCCCAUUCGUUUGAGGGUGAAAAGUAGUGCUAAGAUUUACUUGGGUACCUAAAACCCUCUGGAAAGAUCGCCAAAAUUGAGAAGAGAAUUGUGUCCCUCGAUUGAAUAUAACAGAUACUAGAGCCCCAUGCAAAUGAAUUAUUUCCUAAAUAUACAGCUUAGCAUAAUUAUCUCCCGAAUAAUUAUACACACUAAAAGAAAAUAGGCAGACUUGGUCAUCCCGUCUACAAUCACCUAAAUAGAGUCGUAGUGGUUUCGGGAUCUCAGAAGUCCUGUAAUAAGGUCCAUGUUGAUCAUCUCCCAUUUACACAAAGGUAAAUCUAUCUCUUGGGAAGUGCCACCUGAUCUUAAAUGCUCUACCUAAAGCUAUCUCUUGGGAAGUGCCACCUGGUCCCAAAUGUUCUACCUUGACUUGUUAACAAUUCAGACACUUAGCCACAAAGUUUGCAACAUCCUUUUUCAUAUUAUUCCACUAGUAAAUAUCCUUGAGAUCAUGAUACAUUUUAUUAGAGCCAGGGUGAACAACAUACUUGGAAGUAUGAGCCUCUUCAGGGAUCCUUUCUCGGAACCCAUCAACAUCUGUCACACAUAACCUACCUUUAUAUCUCAAGACAACAUCACCCCCAAUUGCAAUAGCCAUGACCUUUUGUUGACCAACAUCAUCCUUAAUCUAUAUCAAAAUGGGAUCUCUGGACUGUUUUUCCUUAACUUCUAAACAAAGGGAAGAUUUUUCUACCUCAUGUACGAAUACCCUUCCAUCCUUGAAAUCUAGGAGUCUGACUCCCAAAUUAGAAAGCCAGUGAAUAUCCUCACCAUAUUCCUCUCUCCUUCCUCCAAGUGAGUAAGACUGCCCAUGGACAACCUACUAAGGGCGUCAGCCACCGUAUUGACCUUACCCGAAUGAUAGUGUAGGCUCAUCUCAUAAUUCUUCAACAAAUCCAACCACUAUCUCUACCUAAGAUUCAGUUCUUUCUACUUGAAGGCAUACUGCAAACUUUUAUGAUCAGUAAAAAUAUCAAUAUGCAUCCUCUAAAGAUAAUGACGCUAAAUUUUUAGUGCAAACACCACACCCGCUAACUCUAAAUCAUGGAUGGGAUGGUUCUUCUCAUUCACCUUUAACUGUCUAGAUGUGUAGGCCACCACCUUACUACGCUGCAUAAGUACACACCCAAGUCUAACCCAGGAUGCAUCACAGUACACAACAAAACCCUCUAUACCCUAAGGAAGGGUCAAGACUGAUGCAGUAGUAAAUUUGUCUUUCAGUUUCUCAAAACUAUUGUAAGACCCCGCAAAAUCUCUAGCUUAAUUUAGACCUUUAAAGUUUGUCAAGGGGUUUCAGACUUAGAAUAUUUAGCUAAGUAUUCAGACUUAGUUAUACUUUUAGCCUACAAAAAUUGGCAAUCAUGUUUCAUGUCCUUUAUGUCCAUCAAAUAUUGAUAAUUGAGUCAAUUCAUGAUCAGGAAGGUCCAUAGGUGAUCUCAGACCAGUUUCGGCUUUUUCGGACCUCGUUUGAAACAAGUUUGAGUGCCCAAGAUAGUGGGUCGAUGCGAUCUCAAUGCGUCGCGUCGACCAUCACAUCGAUAAGAUAUUUGUUCCUUGGCUCCAGUGCAAUUCCAGUGAAUCAGCGUGAUAUUGAAGUGAUGCGUUAUAUAUCACGUCGAUUCCAUCGACGCACUGCAUCGACAUAUGCGUCGAUGACAUAGGUUUUAGUCAUUAAAAAGUCGCGACUCCAGGGUUAUUUCAGUCUUUUUUCCUCAAUUUUUAGCCCUCAUAACAUAAAAUUUAGCCCCUUUAGAGGCAUAAUACAAUCAUUAUUCACAAAAUCCUCAAGAAUAAAACCCUUGGGCUAUCAAUACAAGAAUCAAUUUCAAGAGAUUUCACCAUCAAUAUUUCCAAAUUUAAGAAAUAAGGUAUGUUUGGUGUUUAUUCAAGGGUCUCUUCCACACUUGGAGUCCAAGAAAACCCUUUUUAAAUCAUGAAUUAUGAUUUUUACGAUGUGGACUGGAUUGUAUCCAUGUUGAUGUUGAUGUAUGGUUUCCAAGUUGAAAUCCUUGACGUAUUUCAUGACAUUAUAAUAGCAUAUAUAUUGAAAUUUAAUUCUCUUAAGUUGAACUCUUGAAUUAUGAAUUUAUAUGAUAGUCAUGAUGUAAUAGCAUUGGUAAUCAUGCCCAAGAAUAAAGUUAUGCCUACCAUGUGUUGGACAAAAUGUUUAAGUGUGUGGAUGGUGCUUUUAUGAUCUUUUGGUGAUCUAAAUGAUGAACUUAUGCUAAAUCUAUAUAUUUUCCAUGACUCUCAUGCUAAGGCUAUGCCUUGUAAGUGUUUGAUAGAAUGCUCAUGAGAUUGGAUUUGUGAAACUAUGAUAUGUUAGUAUGCAUACCUAUUCAUGUACAAGUUCAUGACUUUCAAGUGCUUUAUGAAAUCCCUCAAUGAUUGUAUUGUGAGCUGUUGACUAUUGUCAUGUAUUCAAGAAAUGUCAUGUCCUAUUAAUAUUUAUGCUAUCGAAUCUUAGGGGUAUUUAAUUCCCGAUAAUUUAACUGUGUGCCUUGAGCCAAUGUCAGUUAUAGAGUAAUCUCAGUCAUGUCUUGAUCAGUAAUAUUCUCAGUCAGUUUCAAAACUCAGUAGAACUCAAUCAAUCACAGAACUCAGGAAAACUCAGUAAUCUUAGGGAACUCACUUAGUUCAGUGUCUAUUCAGAUGGGAGUAGGAUUCAGCAUCGAGUGAGCCCAAGGAUGGGAACUCACCUGUCAGUAAAGGGUGUGAUUCUUAGAAGCAAUCCUUGCGUUCUAGAACUAUGUAGAUAGCGUAGGGUGAGACAUCAAACCUGCCAGUUGAGGGUUGAUGAGGUGGCUUAACCUGUCAUAUUUGGGUCCCACCGCUCUCAUUAGAGUACCUACCAGAUGAGGGUAACUCUUCAGUUUCCUUACCCGUGGCACGAUAUUGACACCCUUUCAACUGGGGUUAUAGGUUGGACCCCAAAUCUAUCCAGAAAAGGAGCAUGUCGGUUAGAUGAUUACUUCCCACGGUAUCAAUCUCCAUCUUCAGUAAAUAACUCAGAUAGUUCUACAGAUUUCAUAGACUGUCAGAUACAGUCACUCAGCUCAGUACAGAACUCAGCUAGUUCCAUCAGAAUCAGGACUGUUAGAAACAGUCACUCAGUAAAAGUAUAUCAGUUAUCAGUACAUCAGUUAGCAGUAAUCCAUGUUAUCAGUAAACUCAGUAUUCAGAAUCCUUAUGACUUUAGUUACAGUUAUGUAUUCAUGCAUGUAUUCUCACGCAGUCAUGUUAAUGUUAUUCAGUCAGUUAUAGUUCAUGCAUAUGAACCCUUACAUUCAGUCUUACCUCACUUUGCAUACCAGUACAUUCACACGUACUGACACAUACUUUUCUCAUGCGCUAUGGUAUCUUAUACCAUAGGUUUAGAAGCACGGGCUCUAGAGCACCCUUAAUAGUUCAGAUUCAGCCAGUAGUAGUAUAUUAGCAGUGAGUCCUCAUCAUUCAAGGAUAUACGUUUAUCCCAUUAUCUUAUUACAUUUAGUAUUUCAGUGGACGGAGUUAGUUGGGGGAUUGUCCCAUCAACUAUAGAGUUCAAACAGCUCAGUUAGAGGAUUAUCAGACUAGAUGAUCAGACAGUUGUUCAGUUUUGGUAUUGAGAUACCUCAUUUCAGUUUUUUCCAGUUUAUCGAACCUUAUGUUUGCAUUUAUACAGUAUUAUUACUUAGUUACUGCAGCAGGUACCAGUCAUGGGUUAGCUUAUGGUCCUUCAGGAUUAUGAGCAUCGUGUAGCAUUCGGGGUACAGACUUGGGGCGUUACAACUAUUCUCACAAAAAUCAGACUACAAAAACUUCCCCUUUUCUGAGUCAAUCUAUUAAAUGGAGCAGCUAUAAAGGAAAAAAUCUCUAAAAAUCUUCUGUAAUAUCUUGUCAAACCCAAGAAGCUUUGGAUGUCAAUGGAGUCGUGGGUCUGGGUGUUUUUCUCACUGUCUUAACCAUUUGGGGGUCAACCUUAAUUCCCUCACUAGAUACAAUACGCCCCAAAAAAGUGAUAGCACUAAGCUAGAAUUUGCACUUGGAAAACUUUGCAUACAACUCAUGAUCUGUAAGAGUCUGAAGGAUGAUUUGGAGGUAAUUAGCGUGUUCCUCCUCACUCUCUGAGUAAAUCAAGAUGUUUUUGAUAAAGACUAUGAAGAAUAGAUCUAGAAAUUGAUGAAACACCUGUUCAUGAGGUCCAAAAAUGCUUCGAGGGCAUUAGUUAGUCCGAAGGACAUGACUAAGAAGUCAUAGUGACCAUACCGGGUUCCAAAAAUGGUGAAAUAUCAGCCUCCCUAACCUUCAAGUAAUGAUACCCCGAAUGAAGGUCUAUUUUGGAUAAACAUUUGGUACCUUGGAGUUGGUCAAAGAGAUCAUCGAUUCUGGGAAGAGGGUAUUUAUUUUUAACUGUAACUUUGUUCAAUUGACAGUAAUCUAUAAAUAUAUGGAGGGAGACGUCUUUCUUAUGCACGAAGAGUAUCGGAGCACCCCAGGACGAGACAUUAGGUCGAAUAAAGCCUUUGUCAAGAAGGUCUUUCGACUAGUCUUUCAACUCUUUCAAUUCUGCAGGAACCAUUCUGUAUGAUAGAAUAUAAAUAGGUAGGGUGUCCGGCAACAGGUCAAUGCAAAAAUUUAUCUCCCUAUCUGGUGGUUUCCCAGGAAAGACUUCUGGGAAUUCAUUAACUACAGUUAUAGAUUGGAGGAAAGGACUUUCAGUUUGAGAAUCUUUGACCCGAACAAGAUGAUACAAACAACUCUUUGAUAUGAGCUUACAUGUUCUAAGAUAAGAUAUGAAUUUCCCCCAAGUACUAGAGAAUGCCCCUCCCAUUCUAUCACUGGCUCAUUAGGAAAAGAGAAGGUGAUCUUUCUGGUUCUACAAUCUAUUGUAGUAUAAUAUGAAUGAAGCCAGUCCAUUCCUAGAAUAACAUCAAAAUCAAUCAUGUCCAUCUCUACAAAAUCAGCCAUAGUAUCACGAUGAAAAAUAGACACCACACACUUUCUAUAAACUCUCCUAGCAAUAAUAGAAUCACCAAUAGGAGUAGAAACAGAAAAGGGUUUUGGAAUAUUUUUUAGAUCAAAACCAAAACUAACUGCCACGUAAGGGGUUACAUAAGACAAGGUAGACCCGGGAUCAAGUAACACAUACACACCAUUGUAGAAAAUCUGUAACAUACCCAUAACAACAUCUAGCGAAGCCUCUACAUACUGGCGAUUAGAUAAAACAUAUAACUGGUUACAACCACCUCCAGUAGCAGAAACGGUGCCCUUCGAUGGAGGGCCUGUGGAAUUUGUUUAAGACUUGGUACCUCUAGUAUUCCCAAUGGCUGAUGGAAAGUAACUCUGAAUAUGGCCUGCUUGGCCACACUUGUAGCACAUGUUACUUCCUAAAUAGAAUUUUCCUAGAUGAUCUUUUCCACAAGAACUACAAUGAGGGUAUUGACCCACUGGGCUGAGCCACACUCCCUUCGAAUUGAGUACCCGGUAUCUUUGUGUCGCUAUUAGGCUGGAAGUUAUAAAAUAACAUAUCAACUGGAAGUCUGGGCACUGGGGCGCUAGCUGAAGACAGAGAAUUGCUCCAAAACUUCUUCCUAGACCAUUUCUUACCCCAAUACCACCUUUCUGUUACUGGUAUUUUGAUCUACAGACCUAGCCCUCUAAGUAUGCCUUUAUUUUCCCCUUACCUCUGCCUGUCUCUUUUUUUCCUCUUCUACCUAUUGUAUAUGCACUGAUAACUUGGAGAAAUCCAUAUCUCUGUUCAGUAUAGCUCCCUUAAAUUCUAACACCAAAUUAUCUGAGAGACUGAAUACGAACUUUCUUAUGUGAGCCCUUAUGUUUCCCACUAACUCUAGAGAAUAACGGGACAGAUGGUUAACUUUAAUGCAUACUCUUUGAUACUCAUCUUCCCUUAUUUCAGAUUCACGAAUUCUUUAGGGUUUGCUUCCCUCAAUUCCUGGCGAAAGAAAUGAUUUAGAAAAGCCACUACAAACUGACCCCACACAAAUAAUUCAACAUCUCUACCCCUCAAAUCUUCCCACUCAUUAUACAACUGUAGCUAUGUCCUUCAACUAAUAAGUGGCCAACUCAGCCCCUUCAAUCUUACUAGCAUACAUGACUCUAUAAAUUUUCUUCAUUUCAUCAAUAAACACUUAGGGGUCCUCCUCAACCUUUAUGCUAAUAAAGGUAGGUGGGUUCAGCCUCAUGAACUAGCUAACCCGAGUAGUUUCAGACAAACCUUGCAUAGAAUUCACAUUUUUAGACCAAGGGGACUGAGAAGCCACAAGUUAAGUAAUCAUAUGGAUGGACUACCGAAACUAAGCAUUCAAGACUUCUCUCUAAGGAAGAUGGGUACGGUCAACACCGGACCAAGGAGAUUGAGGUGAUAUAGUUUAGACUGGAGAAACUCCAAGAGUAGCAACAAAUUCUGGAGUAUGAGAUCUAUUACGUGCCCGCAUCCCAUGAGUAGGGCGAACAUCAUCAGCAUGGGUAUUCUGCUUGUUGGAUCUAUGGGGAGGCAUGAUCAAUCUCUAAAAUAUAGGAAAUCAUGAGUUAAGGAACAUUUAGACUAUAUAGCAUGAACUAGAAUAUGAAGAAAAGAGAGACAUUCCUAGAUGCCUAGUAGAUUCGUCUAUAUAAGUGUGGAACGCUACACACCCAUAAAAAGGACUCUAGCUGACGCGACUUCAUAGACACCCUAGAACGAUCAAUUGUACUUCGACGCUAAGUUUGUCGUGACCGGAACUGAGGACCUAGACGUGACGCGCUUCCCAAAUCAUGAAGGUCCGAGAGACCUCUUAACUUAUAAUCAUAACAUACCUAAUCUAUUAUCAUAAUGUAGAAUUAAACUGGAAUCAUAGUAUUUCUAUUAUUUCAACUUAACAAUCUGGGACAUAAGUUCAAAAGAAACCCAACACCAUCUAUAACAAGUCUACGAAGUUUCUACUAAACUGAAAGUAAUAAUCUGUCUGAAAUUAGGACAACGUCCUCGGUCGGACCAUGAACUAAAAUCAAAUGAAGCCAACACAUGGACAAAGGCCUUCCGAAAUAAGGGAGGCUCACCAACUCCAAAAGUCUGACAAUGAUCUACUGAUUAGCGUGACCACAGGAGUGGGCCUCAGAACCUGAAAUAUAAGGGGUCAAUACAUAAAGGCACCGGUAUAUGAAACAAUCCAAAAUAACAUAUUUUUAUACAAUAUAGGUGAGAGAAUUUUAUAAAAAAAAUAUUUAGCAUAAGGUAAACGAAAACACAUGGGAAUAACUUAAAAGCUUCAAAACAUUUUCUCAAAAUCAUGACUCAACUCUUUAUUUUACUUUUGAGUUAGAUGAUACACCCUACAAACGUACUUAUCCACAGGCUAUAUGGACUCUGCCCUUAACUCGGCGGCCAAGCCUGCAAUUCGAGUUUGCCACAAGGAUUGGGGUCUGUCAUGCAUACUAUGCCAUAAGGCUGUUACAAGCGUACAAUCCAUAAUAUAGGAUAUCAUAAACCCAUAUCAGCAAAAUAUGGUUUCGGGCUAAGAGUUAUCUGAACUCAAGCCUUCUUUGAGAAACCAACUAGCUCUCUUUAAGCUCAAUAUUAGUACUAUAAGAGCAUGAUUCAUGCUUUUAAAACAUUCAAUACUUUUUCUGUUAUGGGCAUAUCAUCACCGAGUAUCAUUAUACCCAGACUCGUAAGUUAGUCAUAUCGCACCAUAAUGUAUCCGUACCCCUUUUUAUUUAUCAUCACGUUAUUGACCACCCAAAAAUUUUAAACAUCAUGUGAGAAAGUCUUGCAAUAGAUUUUUAUAUAAGUUUACCCAAAAGCACUCUCUUCUCAAUAUUACAAUCAUAUGGUGUCCAUCUCAUGUUUGCAUUACUUAAAACCCAUGAAAUCUUUCAAUAGACACAAUGAAUAUUUACAAUAAGAAAAACUCCCCCUCAUCACGUCAUAGACAUUAUUAAUUCAUGAACUUUAGUAAGGAAUUUAUUCUCUAGUCUUCUUUCAAAAAUCAUGCAAUUGUACAACCUACAACACUUGAAAUCAAGAGACAUCAUGAUAUUUGAGGGAGUUUCAUUAUUCAUGCUCUCAAUCAAACUUUUCAAAACUGAAAACACAUACACACACACACAUAUAUAUAUAUAUGUGUGUGUGUGUGUGUGUGAGAUAAAAUUUAAUUCUAUUGAAGGAGUUCAAGACAACAUAUACUUUCAUCCAAACAAAUCCAUGAUACAUGCUAUUAAAAUGAUAUAAAAACACUUUUCGUAAACAUGAUUAUAAAUCUUUAAUCUUGAUAAAUCGAUAAAACUUAUGCCCAUGGAGUUUAGGAUAGUCCCACAUACCUUAAGUUUCUUAUCUUGGGAAUGAAACCCUAAUCUUGAUGCUUUCUUGAAGGUUCUUGAACUUGGGGAGCUUGAAUUCUAGAUUACUUGGGCAAAAAGAAGUUGAAUUUUUGUUCUUGGGGGAAGAGGUGGGUUUUCUUGACAUUGAAUUGGAGAACAAGGGCAAAUAAUUCCCUAAUAGAUGUCCCAAUUUAUGCUAUGGAUGAUUUGGGUUGAGGUGGAAAAGACCCAAUUGCCCCCCUCAACCAUUUAAAUCAGAACUGGACGUAACACGCAAUCUUAUCGUGGUAGUUCAUUUCCCUCACCGUGACGCGGUCUGUAUGACGACAGAAAUAACACCGUGUUGCGGGCUUAUCGCGAUAAUCUUCUAGUUUCGUGAUCCAAACAUGACCCAAAUCCCGUCCGAAAAAUCCAAAACUUUUUCGAGACAUAGUCCUUACAUCCCUGAACAUGAAUUAACUCAAAAACCAACAUCUCGGGGUCGAGAAUACCAAGUUAAAAAUUCUUCAAUUUUAAAAGCCUUAAAAAUGACUAAGUCCCCAACACUUAGUGAAAUUUUCAGGCCUUAAGCCCCUUAUGCAUGCAACUAAGAGUUGAAUAGAGCCAAGAAUAAUACGGAGUCUUGCUAUUAAUCUGCAGAGUUACAAAGUCUUGCUAUACAUGCUUUACAAAACCUGCAGAGUUACAAAGAUAAAAACAACUUUCAAAUUAAAAAUUAACAACAAAACAAGAAUCAAGCUGAAAAAUAAAAUUUAUUGGACAAAAAAAAUUGACUCAAUGGCUACACAAAACAUUAAAAAUCCAAACCUAAAUGACCUAAUGACUGGACAAUAAUGAGAUCAGUAAGUAGAGAAACCGCCCAAAAUGCAUUUUCAUCUAGGUGAUGUAGAUAAAAAAUAUAGAGUUUAUAAAUUAAUCUAUGCAUUAUAGAAUGUGAUUCAUAGAAGAGAAAAGUGAUUUUCAGUUCAAAAAAAAUUGUUGGGUAACAAAUACUUCAAAUGGAUGCAAUAAGAUUAAGAAAAAAUGAGAGAGAAUUACUUAAAGAGCAGAGAGAUGAAGGGAAAAAUCAAAAAUCCUAAAGGUAGAAUGCAAUUUCACCAAAGGGAAGAGAGAAAUCCGAAGCUCAAGCUUUGAAAUGAAAUUUUUUGUAACUUUAUGAAAUUUGUCGUAAAUUAAGCUUAUUGCAAAGGGUAAAUAUAUUUUUAACUUUAUUUUUUUGGUAUAAAUGUACUAUAUUAAUCCGACGCUUUCGAGCUUUGAGAUGAAAUUUGUUGUAGCUUUGAGGUGAAAUUUUUCCUAGCUUUAGCUUUGUGCAGAGGGUAAAUGUAUUUUUAACUAUUUUUUGGUACAAAAAUAUAUUUUUAACUUAAACUUGGUGCAAAUAAAUUAUGUCAUUUAAAAAAUAACUAAUUUUUAAUAAAAUAAUAUAUCUUAAAUUGUGUCUCAUGGACAAACGUUAUUACUAGUAAUUUGUAUUAAAUUAGCUAAUAUUCUCUAAGAGGCAAAUUUAGACCCAACAAAAUAAGUUAUGUCACGCGGGUAAAGAGUAGACAUUAUUAGUUUGUAUCGACAUAAUUUUACAAUGUCUAACUUACAAUGUCUAGUUUUAUAAUGUCUAACACAGAGUCCACCCAGAUAAAAGUUAUGCUCCAUGGGCAAGAGUUGACUUUGUCUUAGUUUGUAAUGAUUUGGCAGAUGAUCUAUAACUCUUGCCCUCGAGGCAAGACUUUUAAAUCACAAAAGAACAAGUUGUGCCCCAAAGGCAAAAGUUGACUUUGCCUUAAUUCUGUAAUGAUUUGACAAAUGAUCUACAACUCUUGCCCUGGAGGCAAGACUUUUAAAUCACAAAAGAACAAGUUGUGCUCCAUGGGCAAAAGUUGACUUUGCCUUAGUCUGUAAUGAUUUGACAAAUGAUCUAUAACUCUUGCCCUAGAGGCAAGAUUAGAAACAAGUCCAUGAGCAAGAUUUGACACUACUUUAGUAUUUAAUGAUUUAGUAAAUAAUCGAUAACUCUUGCCAAAGAAGAAAGAAUUUUAGAUCACAAAAGAAAAAGUUGUCCCAUGGGCAAGAUUUGACACUAGCAUAGUUUAGAUUGAUUUGGCAGGUGAUAUAUAAAUCUUGCCCUAAAGGCAAGACAUUACCGGAGGACUCCAAAAGAACAAGUAAUUACUCAUGGACAAGAGUUUACACUUGACAUAAUCGACUGACUUUUAAAAAAUUAGUGCAUUUCACAAAGUUUAACUAAUUGAUUACUAUACAACUCUCGAUUUAGAUGCAUAAUGUGUAGUAAUUAUUGUCUUACAUACAAAACAUAACACAAGGCUUAUAAAAACUAACAAAUACUUAAUGGGCAAUGAUUUAUAUUAUUACACAAAAUCUAACUUAUUGAGUAUUAUAUAACUAUUGCCUUUGGGGGGAAAUGUAGCUCAAAUUUUUUUUAAAAUUAAUGUAUGCCUCAUGGACAACAAUUUACAUAAUUUUACAAUGUCUAACUUAUGAGAUACUCUAUGAAUCAUGUUGAGAAGACUUAAUCAAGGAGUUUUAAAGGAACAAGUUGACACCCAUAGACAUAACAUGUAGUAAUGGUUACCUUAUAGACAAAACAUAGGUCAAGGGCUUUAAAAAAAUUAAUGAAUAUUUCAAGGACAACAAUUAUACUAUUUCACUAAAUCUAACUAAUUGAAUUUUAUGUAGUUCUUUCCUUAGAGGCAAAAUGUAUCUUAGAAAUUUUUGUAAAAAUUAAUGUAUGUGAAACAAGUUACACCAUUUCACUAUGUCUAACUUAUGAGAUACUCUAACAUAAGUUGAUAACUCAAAAAAGAGAAUAUAUCAUGACCUUUAUAUAACUUGACAAAAAUAAACUCACAAGUAAAAAAGAUCAAAAUCAAAAAAUUGAUAUUAAAAUAAACUAAUAAGAAAAAUAAAACAAGAAAAAAUAAUGCAACAAUUUACAAAAGAAUAAGCAAAAGCCGUGGUAAAUUAGUUGAAAGUAAACACUUCAAUUAUAACUUGAGUGACUAUCUUUAAACAUAAUAAAGAAACAAAAGACAAACUUAAAUCCUCUUAAGAAUUUAUCACGUCUUCAGUAGUACAAAAUUUAUUUUUUAUAGAAAUAUGAUCAGGAACACCGGAUGGCAUUGAAGUUAUUAGAGUAAAACUAGAACCAUAAUCUUCAUCUGAUACUUCGCACCACUUUCUUUUCCUAGAAAGCAAGUCAUGGGGAGGUGUUGAAAGAUCAAUUUCGCCGCUUUGAAUCUUGGCACAAAUCUGAAAACUGGUUUCAAACUUGAGUUCAUCUUUAAGAAUAGGCACAUUUUAUUCCUGCAUUUCAUUCACCCCCUUGAAAUUUGCAAUGCCAACUUCUCAUCUGUCACAUGGUUUAUGUAAUCCCUGAAUAAGCUCCACAAUAGAAUCAAACUUGCAUUCUAGAGACUAUAAAAAAAAAUUAAUAAUGUCAACAACAUAAUCAACACAAUUACAGAUAGAAUGAUGUUGUUUCUAUUGAGUAAUAAAUUUAAUGUAAAAUUUACCGUAAUACGGCUCAUAGUCCCAUCUAAAGAAGUAUCAAGAUGAGUCUUACUAGAAGAUGUCACUCUCUGCAUAAAAUUUGCAAAAGAAAAAGAAAGAUUACUAAAGCAAGUUAGAAACUCAACAUUGAAUUAUGAUUUGAACAGUAAAAUAAUAAAGAUAUAUUCAAUAUUAAAGAAAAAGAGAGUGACACAAAGUACACCUAGAUAAAAGUUAUGCCCCAUGGGCAAGAUUUGACCCAAACAUAGUCUUUAUUGACUUAGUAAAUGAUCUAUAACUCGUACCCAAGAGGCAAGACUUUUAGAUCACAAAGAAACAAGUUGUGCCCCAUGGGCAAGAUUUGACACUACUGAUUUGGCAGAUGAUCUAUAACUCUUGCCCUAGAGGCAAGACUAGAACAAGUCUAUGAGCCAUUAUUAAGUACCCAACUUUCCUGCCUACUUCAGCAAGCGUUGCAGAACUAGUUGAGCCGUUGAGGGUAAGCAGGAGAAGAUGUGCACAAAGCCAGCUCUCUUCUAAAAGCUAAACAAUAAUCACAAAGUGGCAAAUCAACAACCUACUAAUAAGUGUUUAUUAUAUGUAUGUAAAUUAAGUAAUAACUGCAACCAAUCCAACUAGUUAACACAUUGAUAAUAUAAAGAACAUGAAGUUGGAGGCUUAUAAGCACAAUGGCGGAGAAAAGGAUCAAAAAUGACAAAUAUGUACAUUAAAUACAAAUAGUUUGCCCAAUUAAAUGAUCUUCUCACUCAUUUUUAAAAUGAAGACCUUAACUCAAUAAGAUUUCAAUGAUUCCACUUUUUAUUUCUCAUUACAGGUCCUGCAAAGUUGUAGAUAAGUACAAGUAACAAUUCACGGUGUUCGUUUCCCUAAUCACUUUUCUUCACACAUAAAUGAAUAAAAUCAACUUAUUCUACUAAAAGAAGGUCCUAACUUCUUUAUUCACUUUUCUAUUUCUGCACGCUUACGCAAUGUAAAUGAAGCCUUAACAUGGUGUCAUUCAUAGAAGUAAUUCAACAUAGUUCAACUAAUCAACAGUUGGACAUAAAUUAAACCAAAAUAGAAAAACAUGUUUAAUACACUCAAUAGAACCAUAAAAUUUCCUUGUGAAAAGAUUUUAACGAUAAUAGGGAGAACAACAAAAUAUUUUGUUUUUAACCUUCUAAAGCUAUACGUUCUCCAGAUUCAAGUCUGUAAAUCAAACUAAGCACACUCCUUCAAGAGUCAUUGCAUUACAUGGAUUAUCAACUUGCGGUAUUUUUGGGUUAUUCAAACACAAAUAUCAAAAGAAUAAUAAUUACAAGAUCAAGCAUUUCCUUGCUGCACCCAAGAGUAAGGGUAUGGGACUGUGGUCAAGUGGUCAAUGAAGUGUUUGAGAACUACGAGGUCUCAUGUUCAAAAUUCAGCGAAGACAAAAAUAUCUAUUCUAGCCUUAGUGAAUAGAGUUUUCCGGUACUUGUUGUUGACAGGUACCCUACAGAUAUGAAAUAUUGGUCAAGGUGUGUGCAAUUUCAACCCAUCACCAGGUUCCAUAAACUUCACCAAGCGUUGGAGACAAAGUUAAGCCGUUGAGGGUAAGCUGGAGAAGCUAUGCACAAAGUCAGCUCUCUCCUAAAAGCUAAGCAAUAAUCACAAAGUGGCAAAUCGAUAGCCUACUAUUAAGUGCUUAUUAUAUGUAAAUUAAGUAAUAACUAAAAUCAAUCCAACUAGUUAGCUAAUUGACAAUGUAAAGAACAUGAAGCUGGAGGCUUAUAAGCACAUUGGCCGGAGAAAACAACCAAAAAGCACAAAUAGCCAAGAAAGAAUCAUAUAAAGAUAAUUUCUGAACAAAAUAAAUAAAGUAACACACUAACACCCUUGCUAGCACAGUAUCUGAGGCACACAUAAAAACAUGCACAAAACAGGCAAAUAAGUUGUCACUGGCCUAACGUAGACACGUUGAAGCUUAUCAAAAAAAUAGUCCUAAUCGCACCUCAUUGUAAGCUAAUUCUUCAGUCAUUUAAGUUUAAAAAAUUAGAACAGAGUGAUUUCAUUAAAGUGUUAAACAAACUUAAUAGAAAAAUUCAAUUAUUGGCAUAUUUGACUUCAACAUUCAUCACUUGUACAUAAUAUUACUAAGUAGAUGAUCUAUAAAUCUUGACAUAGACGCAAAGACCGAGCCCCCAUAGAAACAAGUAAUACCUCAUGGGCAAAAAUUGAUCCCACCACAUUGUCUAUUAAUUAAACAGAUGCUCAAUAACUCUUGCCCUAGAGGCAAGACCUAUCCCACAAAGAAACAACUAGUCUCUAUGGAUAAGAGUUGAGACUACUUUGUUCCGUAAUGAUUUGAUAGAUCCUCUAUAAUUCUUGUCCUAGAGGCAAAAAUUAGCUCACAUUGAUAAAAUAUAUAAAAAGUGAAGUUACAAUUUUUUUAGUAUACUAACAGACAUUAAUGUAAAAUACAUGUAAAUGAUAAAGUGAAUUUAGUAGAAACGUACAUCAACAAUGAUGUCAAUUAAGUUUGAGGGAAAAAGUCCUGAAGAAUUGGAAGCAACAUCCGCUGAGAGACGCUCUAUUUCUUCAUCAGAAGCAACAUCCAUUUUUUUCUGUUUAUCGAGUUUGAAGAUUUGAGAGAAGUCCGAUGAAGAGAAAGAGGAGCAACAGAAAGAUUAUUUGAGAAAAUGAAGAAAAAAUAUGAACAACGAGAAAGAGUAUUUGAGAAAAAUCUGGGAAAAAAAAGAGAAAUAAUAAAAAAUCAAAAUAAAGGUUAAAGACAAAUAAAUUUUUAGAAAAUGAAGAAAUAGAUAAUGGUUGAGAAAAAAGAAAAAAGAGGAAAAAAUAAAGGUUGCGACAAAUAAUUUAAAACAUGAAAAUAAAAUUAAAAAAAAAAGUGAAAAUAAUAAAAAAUAGAAUAAUAAAUUUACAGAAAAAAUAAAAAAGUGAAAAAAAGUAGAAUGAUAAAAGUAAAGAAAAAAAUAAAAAAUAAAAAUAAUAAAAAAUAAAAUUGGUUGUUUGGGGCGGAAUUAAAAUUGAUAAAAGUGGAUACGUAUUUAUUUUUAAUUCAUUAUUAGCGGUUUAAUUUGGAAUAAGCAUGAAUUUUGUUAAAACAGAUAGGCAAAUGUAGGUUUGGGUAGGCAAAUUUAGAACUUGUGUCUGGUUGAAUGUUUGAAUGUGCGUGGGCCGUACUUGAUUCUAAUAUAUUCAUUUGGCCGGAGAAUGCCCCGAGAGAUUUGUAUUGAUUUAUUCGGGGAAUGCCCAAGUAUCAUGUACGCAAAGGAGGCUCGUGAUUAAGGCCCGAGGCAUCGGGUACGACAUUGGAACGCAGUUUUAGGAUUAGCUUAAAAUAGGAUUUAUAUUUUACGCAUGUUUCUAUUUUGGACUGUAUAAUUGGAAUGGACAUUAAAUUUUGAUUUGUUUCGUUGUGUUUGCUUGAUUGAUUGUUUUGCAUGCUUUGUGUGGUUUAUACAUUUAUAAUAUCAAAUUAGCCGAUAUGCUCUACCAAGCGACCGUGGUCGAACCACGGGAUCGAGGGGUGCCUAACACUUUCCCCUCGAUCAACAGAAUUCCUUAUCCGGAAUCUUUGUUCGCAAACCAGUUUAAAGAGGCAAAUUAUUUUGAAAAAGGAUUUCCAAAGGUGACUUGGCACACCCGAUUUAUGCCAAGUGGUGACACUGAGUUUUGAAUAUGAGAAGUCUUUUUCAGAAUAAAUUUUUCAAUCUUUUGUAACUUUAAUAAUAAAAUCCUUUCAAACAUUAAAAUCAAUUUUCUUGGGUAAAAAAAAGGGUGUGACAACUCUGGCGACUCUUCUUGGAAAUUUUCAGAAUUCAAGCUUAUUUUUGAAGUUAUAUCGGCUUAGUUUUACAUUAUGGGUGUAUAAACGUGCUUGUGUGAUUGUUUGUAUUGUUUUAUCAUUGUGAUGUGCUUACGUGCUCUUUGUUUACAGUUUUUCUUAUGUGUUACUACUUUAUAUCUGGCAUCAUGUGCAUAACCCGAGUCAAUUGUUUCUGCAACAAGUUCUGUAGUACACGCUGUGUACACGACCUAUAGUUGAGUCACCCUUAUUUUAGGAGGGGGAGCCGUCGGCUGGUAUGGAGUAGAUGGACAGCCAAAGCAGCCACUAUCGACCAUACACUCCCCUGAACAGCCUUGUUAGUGAACCCCAGCGUAGGUCAGCCUUUAGGUCAUACUUAUGUGCAUCAUAUUGAGACCUAGCGGGGCCCAUUUGGUCCUUUGUAGGAGACUCACCUCUACAGCAUUCCUAUGUGCUAAAUGUUGCAUCUUUGAGGGUAAUGUGAUCAUUUGACGGUCUGAUUCGGGGAAAGUAUGUGUUAGAAGUAAAGUGUGUAGGCAAUGAAAAAUCGAAAAAAAAAAAAAAAAGAGAAAACGAAAAGGUGAAUAAAAAAAAGGGUUUCGUAGUUUUUUUUAGAGUUUUUUAUGACUUUUGUUCUUCACAAUCCAAAAAUUCAAAAAAAAAAGUUUUUUUCUUUUACCUUUUGCAUUUAUUUUCUCAAAAAAAUAAAAAUUCAAAAAGUUUUUUUUUCACCAUUUGCACCAUCUUCUCAAAACACAAAAAAAAACAUCAAAAAGAUUUUCCUUUUGUUUCUUUUGUAAUCAUUCAUAAUUCGAAAAUUUUAAAAAAAGAUUUUUCAUUCAUAGGAGUUUUCAUAAAAGAAAAAUUAAAAAAAAAUGGUAGAAGUUUUUUACAUUUCAUAUAAUGAAAAUACCAAAAAGAUUUUUCUUUCAUAGUUGUUGGUGUCAGUCUUAUGUGGAGUGUCAAAGUGAAAACCAAAAAAAAAAAAUCAUUGUAAUCUCGUCUCCAAGUCAGGGUUCAGUCGGUUAUUUAAUCCUUAAUUGUCCUAUCUGGAUGAAUUACGCACCCCUGAUUCUCCUCUCUCGGGAGUGAGAUACGUAGGCAGCCUAUUAUUGGUUCAGGGAUCUUAUUUAAAAAAUUCAAAAAGAUCUUCUUCACUCUUCAUUUAGAGUAGGUGUCAUAUACAUCUCUCAAAGAAAAUCACAAAAAGGAUUUUUCUUUAAUAGUUUCAAGUUUUAUUUACGUAUGAAUGUAAAAUUGAAAAUUCAAAAAGAUUUUUCUUUGAUAAUCAUAGGUUUCAUUUUGUAUAGGAAUUUUAAAGCUGAAAAUUUUAAAAGAUUUUCGUCAAUUCUUUGACAAUUUGUUAUAUUUUAAGUUUCAACAAAAAGAAAAAGAAGAGUUUGAUCGGCCAUUUUGGCAAGACUUCACGAACUACGCACACCUGAUUCUCCCCUCUCGGGGGCGAGAUACAUAGGCGCCCUUCUCAGGUUCGGUGAUCUUUUCAAAAAAAAAGACAAGUUUUGAAAAAUUAUUGAACUCUAAUGCAUUUGCUAUCUCUUGUCCAGUUAGUUUAAGGUGGUUGGUUUGUGGCAUUUUGGUUGGUUCUCCUUAUUGAUCCAAGUCACAGAGAAAGUUAUGGUCAACAAAGAUAUCGAGUUUGUUUUCACUAAUCAGAUAGGGAGUUUGGGGAAUAAGAAUGUAAGAGCUAAUGAAGAGAUUCAGAAAUUAAGGCAGCAAAUGAGAGAAAUGCAUCGAGCUUGGGCUAAUUGGAUGUCUCCUCCUCCAUUUCCUGCUGAUAAAAAAGCUGAUAAUCUGGAAUAUCUUUCUAGUUUGCCUCCAGUGUCACACGUACAAUUUCCUAUUUUGGUCGACACGCCACAACAUGCAUCAGGACCUACUCUGGGGCAAUAGUACCCAAACACUUCCAAUAUUCAUUUCCUCACUCCUCAAUACAAAAUUACCACAUGCUCGACUCCAUCUGCUGUUCAUACUUUUGCAGUCCCACUCCCGUCUGAAGCUCCUGCUUUUAAUGUCAAUCCAACGAUUGUGAUUCCUCACUCUACAAGCGACCCUGUAUCCAGUAUUUUUAGUGAUCGGCAUUAUGCUCCCGAGCCCACAUUUAAGUCGGCUGGUCCUUAUGAUUGCCCUCAACCGCCUGAAUUUCCUCCUAGCACUGAGAAGCCUGUUAUGACAGAAGAACAAGAGGAAAUAGCCAGAAAAUUGAGAGGUUUGGAAUUGACUAUGAAGGACUUGGGGGGUACAAAAGUGUCUCAUAUAAAGAUCUGUGCAUGUUUUCAGGUGUACAUCUUCCUUUUGGUUUUAAAAUGCCAAAGUUUAAGAAGUAUGAUGGACAUGCCGAUACUGUAGCACAUUUGAGACGCUAUUACAACCAGCUACGGAGCGCUGGAGGGAAGGAAGAAUUACUCAUGGCAUAUUUCGGUGAGAGUCUUUCAGGUCUAGCUUCAGAAUGGUUUGUUGACCAAGACAUCGACAAGUGGAAUAGCUGGGAUGACCUAGCUAAUGAAUUCGUGCAAUAAUUUCAAUACAAUAUGGAGUUGAUUCCUGACGAGAAAUCCCUAACUAAUAUAAAGAAAAAGAGUACUGAAACUUUCAGAGACUAUGCGAUUAGAUGGUGUGAACAAGCUGCUAGGGUGAAACCGCCAAUGAAAAUAAGUAAGAUAGUAGAGGCAUUUAUUCAAGCACAGGAUGAAACAUAUUAUCAACACUUGUUACCUGCAUUAGGCAAGCCAUUUAUUGAGGUCCUCAAAAUGGGGGAAAUGAUAGAGGAUGGAAUUAAGACUGGUCGCAUUGUGAGUUUUGCAACAUUGAAAGCGACUACUCAAGCAAUUCAAAAAGAUUCGGGAAGUGUGGGAGGAAAGAAGGAGGAAGAUACAUCUGCCAUUGUAGUUGGACAACAGGCACGGGAAAGAGGACCACACCAUCAUUACCCACAAGUUCAAACCCAAGUUUAUACCCAAGCUCCACAGAAUCUUUCCCGAAAUCCAUUAUACUCCACUGCCCCACCUCCAUAUCCAAUAUACAAUGCACAAGCCAAUGGUCAAUUACUUUCUUACCCACAAUGGCAUGUACCAACUCUUCAGAAUCUUCCUCAAACUCCACAAACAUACCAAAGCCCUUCUAGGCCAGAUUUUUGGUCCAAGCCAAACAAUGAAAUGAGGCAGAAGUCGAGGGAUAGCUUCACACCAAUUGGAGAGUCGUAUGCAAGUUUAUUCCAGAGAUUGGUAGAACAGGGCAUGAUCACUCCUCUCCUUCGGUAUACUUCUGACCCACAUUCAAGAAGUUUUGAUCCUAAUGUAUGAUGUGCAUAUUAUUCUGAUGUUCAGGGUCACAGUAUUGAAGAUUGUCGUGCUUUCAAAAAGAGAAAUUGAAAAGAUGAUUCAAGAUAAAUCAAUCAUGGUGCAGAACAUUGAUAGUAAGGAAAGCUCUAGUCAUGCUGAUAUACAAACCAGUGGCUAAGAUGUCACGCUGAGCAAUUGAGAAGUCACCCCUCUCCUUACUAGGAAGGGGUUUGGUAGCUUGUUUUAUUUUAUUUUUUAUUGUCCGAAUUAUUUCAGGGUUGUAGUUCGGGAUCUAUCUUGUUUUGUCCUUUUAUUGUUUAUGUUCAAACCCUUCUAUCUUUUGUUUCAACUAAAUAAAGUGUCCCAUUUUUCUUUGUGUUUUAAAUAUGUGUUGUUUGUUUGUUUUCUUUACAUAGUAUAUUUUAUGUUGACUCUAGUGAUAUGACAUGCUAGUGAAAUUUUCAGUUAGAUCUUAAAAUCCAGUUUAAGCAUGAAUAUUAAAUCAGAGGGUUAAAGUUAAAAAAAAAGAGCACAUGAGAAAAUAGAUAGAAUGCUAAGAUAUUUGGUGACAAGUUAAGACAAUUAUUUUGAGAAUCAUAAGAACAACUUGGUCAUCGAUCGAAAGGCAGAUCCCAAUUAGAUCAAAUAGUGGACAUGUGAUCCCUAUAUCAAGAGAUACAAGAAGAUAACCAGCUCCACGAAAGCAUGAGUCAUUCGAUGUGAGGAAUUUACAACAAAGGUGGAGUUUUCAGGAGAAGUAGUGACGCACCGACUCAAUCUGCUUCAAAAGAUAUUGCAAAUGAUCUUCAUCUCUCACUUUCAUAUUGCAUAAUAUGUACUUGCAUUUUCAAGGAUUAAUAUGACGAAGGCAUUUCACUCUGCUAUCCAAACAUCGUGUCAUACUUUGUUCACCCCAUUUGAGAUUUAGUCCUAUUUUAUUUCAUACCCUUCAAGGUGCCACUAGCCGAAUAAGGUCGUAAAUGCAAUUGACCUAAGGAAGUAACUCAGUUUCAAGUCCAUUAACUCAACAACAAUUGGUAGAAAGUUUGGAUGAAAAGAUCAAGCUGCUUAAUCCAAAAUGCAUGUCAUAACCAUUAGAGUUGACUGUCAUUUUUUUGAUGAAUUUGUUGUUUCUUUGUUUCAAACAGGGACAUUCAUUGUAUUUUCUUUCUUUUCUUUAUUUUUGUUUAUCUUUGUUGAGUCAGUUAUCCAAAUAAAAAUUGUCAUUCUAUUUUCUUUUCUUGUCUUUGAGUCAAGUCCGUGUCAAAACAAGUGAGAAAAUAUUUCAAAACUAGCUACCAGCUUCAUUAAUUACACAAAGCAAGACAAAAGCUAGCACACGAAAGAGACAUGAUUGUGAGCCAAAAAGAGUAUGUAGAAAGUUUUGCCAACAGAAAAGUCGGGGAACUCAUCAAAAUACCAAGGUUCAAAGGGUUUAUCUGAGGAGCAUGGCAAAGCAGAGAUACCGUGUUUGUUUCAGAGUCACUCUUAAUAAUCUGAGUGUAGAUCAAUGAUGCAGUAAGUCAAUGACUUAUGCUAAUAGUUGGAAGCAAGGUUAAAUGUUGGGGCAAGAGCAAUUGUUGCGAAAGCUAAAGCCACAAACUAGCCACCAUGUUUUUAAACUCACAAGUUUUCUUUGUAUGAAACAGAAAAACAUGUUGCAUUCAGAUCAAGGAUUUCAGAGCCUAAACAUCAAAGAUCGUUAUUUCUCCCUUCUACAAAUGCAAGAGGCAAUGUUGUUGCACAGGUUGGGUAAUCAAAACCAUGGUAAAAAUCAUAAUUCAAUAUCUCUAGGAGACACACUUCCUUGUCCGGAUGAUUCAGGUCCAUUUAUUAGGUGAUGCACUUCCAAAAUUGAACCUUCACUCCUAGAAGUCGCACUUUCUAGUUGAGUCCUUCCACUUAACCCGUAGGAGAUGCAUCUCCUUAUUUGAGUAAUUCAGAUUUCAUUUAUUAGGUGAUGCACUUCCUAAAUUUAACCUUCACUCCUAGAAGUCGCAUGUUCUAGUCGAGUCAUUCCAGUUGACCCUUAGGAGACACACUUCCUUUUUGGGUAAUUCAAGCGGCAUUUGUAAGGAGAUGCACUUCCUUUUUUGGGGCAAUUCAAGUAACAUUGGUAAGGAGACACACUUCCUUGUUCAGGUAAUUCCAGCAAUAUUUGUAAGAAGACGCACUUCCUUGUUUGGUUAAUUCAUGAAAUACUUGUAAGGAGACGCACUUCCUUGUUUGGUAAUUCAAGCGGUAUUUGUAAGGAGACGCACUUCCUUGUUUGGGUAAUUCAAGCAACAUUUUUAAGGAGAUGCACUUCCUUAUUUGGGUAAUUCAAGAAACAUUUUUAAGGAGAUGCACUUUCUUAUUUUGAUAAUUCAAGCAACAUUGGUAAGGAGAUGCACUUCCUUGAUUAGGUAAUUCAAAUUUUGCUUUUUAGGUGAUGCACUUCCUAGCUUAAAUUUUGAUUUCUAUAAGACGUACCUUGUAGUCGAGUCAUCUCCCUUGAUUCCUAUAAGACAUACCUUUAGUUGAGUCAUUCCCCUUUGAUUCCUAGAAGACGUACCUUUUAGUUGAGUCAUCUCCCUUGAUUCCUAUAAGACGUACCUUUUAGUCGAGUCAUCCCCCUUGAUUUCUAGAAGACGUACCUUUUAGUCGAGUCAUCUCCCUUGAUUUCUAUAAUGAUGUGACUUUCGCAAAAGUCCUUUGAUGAUAAACUGGGGCGAAAUUUAAUUCUUGUGUUGGAACUUUACUUUUCUGGCAAAUGAAACCUCUUUAUAACAAUCUUUGUUUGGAUAAUUUUCUUUUUAGUUUUGAUGUGAUUUCAGGAGCCUGCCCGAAGCACAGGGCGAAUAAAUGAAAAACCAAGCAACAAGGUAAAGAAAAUUAAAAGUUAAACAGAUUGAAAAAUAGCAAGUUAGGAGCGCCUGCCUUCAGAACAGGGUGAAGAAGAUAAAAGCAUAGCAACAAGUUGAUGAAAUAGCAAAUCAGGAGCUCAUCUGAAGAAUAGGGUGAUGAAACUCAAGUAUAACAGAAGUUGUAUAGAUAUGAUUUUUGUAAUUUCAUUUAUGCUUUAACUUGUAAUUUUUAUUUUGAUAUAAUGACAGAGCCGCGGAUCGGAACCUCGACGGGACCUCACUCGAAUCUCCAACUCGAUUGUUCUUCUUUCUUUUGUUUCUUCCUUUGAUAAUGGUCGGGACAAAAUUCUGUCUCGUUGUCUACUUCUUUGUCUGAAAACACUGCAUGUUUACAUUCAAAUGGGGCAUGAUAUAGACACAUAAUUUUAUCCUUAUGAAAGAUUAAUUUUUACCUUCUUACCUUAUCCUAUCAUAUACCCUCAACCAUGUAAUUAUCCCUCCAUAAAAUGACAAUAAAUAAUAACCCCUAACUAAUUUUAUUUUUUUCUAACAAUCUAUCCAAUCAAAAUAAGACACCUACCCACCCUUACCCCUCCUAACCACUACCUUACCUCACCCUCUAGGUAGUCACCACCCACUCACGUUUUUUAUUCCUUUUAACCAACACAUUAAGAACAAAAUAGGGAAGGCACGUGAUAUCUUGAUACCAUCACCCAAUACACAACAUCACAUAUACCAAGGGAGGGGCCCACUGGAAUUCCAUGAUUCUUUCUUUCUAAUUAAUAUAGACAAAGGAGUAAUAGACCAACAGGGAGAGAGAAAAAAAUCACAACAACCUGGGGGGACCACUUUCAUCAUCAUCAUCCAUAUAUCUUCUUCACGAACCAAAAAAAAAAAGAAAAAAGGAGGAGAGAAGAACGACACUCUCCAUUUUUUUCUUUGAUUGACCCUCACAAAUCAACAACACAAAAAUAGAUAGAUAAGAUAUGACAUGAGAAAGAGAGAGCUACAGAGAGUGAGAGAUAUAUAUGAGAGAGUGAUAGAGAUUUGCGAGAGAGGGAGAGAUUCGUGAUUGAAAUUGAAAGAGAACGAUGGCGAAGUAGUUUCCGGCGAGUGAGAGCUUGAGGAACACGAGUUUGGUCGUUUGAUUACUGUUCCGGUGACAGGCUCGUCGGAAUAGCGUCUAGCUGUCAUAAAUUCAUUUAAAACCCAUUGAAUAUAGCUCAACUGAUAUCUCUUUAUCGUUUUGGUCAUAGCCAAAGUUUACCAGGGUUACAGCGACACAAAAUCAUCAAACAAACCUCGAUCUGCUUUUGAUUCCAUCCAAACCCAUUGGAAUCGGGCCGGAUUUCUCUUAUUUCUCAUGAUUUUUAGUUCGAGGUUAUGUGGGUUCGUGAGAAUUUGGUCCAGGUCUCUUUGUUUCUGUGAUUCUCAGUUCUGAGUUGGAUGGGUUCGUUUGUUUAAUGUUCGAUUCGAGGUUUUUGGGCGCGGAUUCUCUUUAUUCGAAUAACAUUGAGUUUGAAAGCUACGAAUCGAGGUCCAAUUCUAUUAUUUCUCUUUUUAUUUCAUUAUUUACUAUAUUUUGGUGUGUUGGAUUGAAUAUUGUAUGUUUUGUUUGAUCCUUGUUGGUGAUGAACGCGUAUUUAUUUUGAUUCGCGGUUGGUUUUUUUGAUUAUGAUUUGCAUGGUGAAAUAGCAUCUCAUUUGAGAAUUAAAAUUGGUUGUUUGGGGCGGAAUUAAAAUUGAUAAAAGUGGAUAUGUAUUUGUUUUAAUUCAUUAUUAGCGGUUUAAUUUGGAAAAUGCAUGAAUUUUGUUGAAAUAAAUAGGCAAAUGUAGGUUUGGGUAGGCAAAUUUAGAACUUGUAUCUGGUUGAAUAUUUGAAUGUGCGUGGGCCGUACUUGAUUCUAAUGUAUUUAUUUGGCCAGGGAAUGCCCCGAGAGAUUUGUAUUGAUUUAUUCGGGGAAUGCCCCAAAGUAUCAUGUACGCAGAGGAGGCUCGUGAUCAAGGCCCGAGGCAUCGGGUAAGACAUUGGAACACAGUUUUAGGAUUAGCUUAAAAUAGGAUUUAUAUUUUACGCAUUUUUCUAUUUUGGACUGUAUAAUUGAACUGGACACUAAAUUUUGAUUUGUUUCGUUUUGUUUGCUUGAUUGAUUGUUUUGCAUGCUUUGUGUGGUUUAUAUAUUUAUAAUGUCAAAUUAGCCGAUAUGUUCUACCUAGUGAUCGUGGUCGAACCACGGGAUCGAGGGGUGCCUAGCACCUUCCACUCGGUCAACAGAAUUCCUUAGCCAGAAUCUCUGUUCGCAAACCAGUUUAAAGAGUCAAAUUAUUUUGAAAAGAAAUUUUUAAAGAUGACUUAGCACACCCGAUUUAUGCCAAGUGGCGACUCUGAGUUUUGAAUAUAAGAAGUCCUUUUCGGAACAAAUUUUUUAAUCUUUUGUAACUUUAAUAAUAAAACUCUUUCAAACGUUAAAAUCAAACUUCUUGGGUAAAAAAAAGGAGUGUGACAACAACAACAACAAUAAUAAUACCAACAACAACAACAAUAAUAACAAUAAUAACAACAACAACAAUAAUAAUGAUAAUAAUAACAACCGCAACAACAACAACAAUAAUAAUAAUAAUAAUAACAAAAACAAAAACAACAACAACAACAACAACAAUACCAAAAACAACAACAACAACAAUAAUAAUGAUACUAAUAACAACAACAAUAACAAUAAUAAUAAUAAUAACAACAACAACAAUAACAGCAACAACAAUAAUAAUAACAACAACAAUAAUAUCAAUAAUAAUAAUAAUAAUAAUAAAGAUACAAGGCCUCAUAUCAUAAAAUUAUUGGGGACAAUGAUGUGUGAAGUCAUGUGAAGUUAGUUUUUAUAAAACAUUUUGUGUGGCUUUUAUAAAGAAACUUAAAAGAAGAUGUGAAAUAAAAGUGUGUUAGGUAGAAUAGUAAAAGUCACAUUUUUCAUAGCUUAAGUUUUUAGUUUGACGUUUAUUAUGAAGAAUCCUCUAUAAAAGUAUUUCAUUUUUUUUGUAUUGAAAGAUGGGUUUUUAUGGUAUCAGAACCAUGUAAUAUUGAUAGUAAUAAGUGCUAUAUGUUCAACAUAUUUUUUAUCAUGAGUAUCAUCAAAAAAACAAGUUACUACUAAAAAUAAUAUAAAAGAAGAGAAUGAUAUGCCACAACAUUUAGAUCUUCUUAAUAAAUAGACAAUUUCUGAAGUUCAACUCAAGCUUAUAUACCAAAUGAAAACUUUUGAAAAAUUGGGUCUCAAACAAAUUGUAAAAACGACUGAAGAAACUAUUAUUAUUAAUGAUGAUCAUGCUACAUUUAGAUUAUUAUUUGAAAAUAAUUUGACUCCUUUUAAGGAAACUCGUAGAGUCAUGCAUAUUAGACUUACACAAUUUGCAUUUAAACCACUUACUUUAAGAAGUUUACCUGAAAACUUUAUAGCUGCUUUAAGAGAUGGAAGAAAUUAAAAUUGAAAAAUGUCUCUUAUAGGGCCUAUUCAAACAAGCUUAUCUUAUGGCCUAGUAUAUUUUAAUGUUUAUCCUAAUUUACAAAUAUCUUUGAAUGGUGAGAAUUCUCUAAAAAUGCUUUAGUAUUAAGUGUUAAAAUUACAUGAUUAUAAUUAUAUGCCAGGAACUGAAGUUAUAUGUAUAUGUUAUAGAAUUUAGGGAAAAGGCAUCGUUUCCACCCUAAACUAUACCCGAAAAGUCUAAGUCACACCUAAACUAUACUAGUGACCUAUUACACACCUUAACUAUAAAAAAAAGUGAUAUUAUUACCUCCCCGCAACCCUCAUUCUAAGGCGCGUGUGUUACACUUAUUUUAGGCGCAUCCAGCCUAUUAAAUAACAAAAGUAAACGGCUAAAAACAUUAAGGGAAAAGUCAUCGUUUCCACCCUAAACUAUAGUUGAAAAGUCGAAUCCACACCUAAACUAUAUAAGUGACCUAUUACACACCUUAACUAUAAAAAAGUGAUACUUUUUACUGACGCGGUGCUGACGUGGCAGCGCGUGUAAAACACUACACCACAUGCAAGUGGUGGUAGCCUGACAGGGUGUAAAUGGUUUCACUUUUUUAUAGUUUAAGUGUGUAAUAGGUCACUAGUAUAGUUUAGGUGUGGCUUCGACUUUUGGGGUAUAGUUUGGGGUGGAAACGAUGUCUUUUCCCUAGAAUUUAUUAUAAACUUAUAUAUACUUUAGAUUCUAUGUGUAAGAUUAUGGAUUUUAAAAAUGAGACUAUUUUAAUAGAAAUAAAUUUUUGUAGGUCAAAAGUUAUUACUAGAAGGCCUAUUAAAUGAGAUGAAAUUGACUGGCCUAUUAAAUGAGAUGAAAUUGACUUUCUCAAAAAAUAAAUUUUUGAAGAAGGUACUCUUCUCAAAAUAAUAUGAAUAGUAGAAUUAUAGAAGUUGAACAGACCACAAAGGGUACUGUUAAAAUCAAAUUUUUCGAUCCCACACCUUUUAUAAAUAAAGUUGAUAAUCUUAGUGUUGCAUCUAAAUUGACUAGAUCAAUCUAUUCUUAUAUUUCUUCUAUUGAUUAUAUCGUUAAUUCUUCGUCUAGAGUUUUUGCUUCUCAAAUUAGAGAAAACAAUAGAGUGAGGAAUAUUAGAUUAGAUAGAGAUAUAUAACUUAUGUUAUCUCAAAUGUGGAUCCAACCGAAUUUGAAUGAAUUUUUCUACAGGUUUGAAAUAAAUCAAAACAAAAUUGAUUUUAAUUCGGGAUUACCAACAAGAAAAAAAAUCUCAAAUGAGUUCUUUAAAUUCAGGUAGGAACUUUUUAGAAAUUGAUUUUUUCAAAACUCUAAUAAAUAAGAAAAGAAAUUCUUUCAGGAAAAAAUUUAUAAAGAUCUUUCUGCUUGUAAUAAGAUAAUUGCUUUUGUCCUAUAAUUUAUGGCUAAGUAUGUUGAUAGUUCUAUCUCUAUGUUAGAAAAAGAUUAUAAAUUAAGUAAUGGUAAAAUCACCAAAUCAAUUUUUCCUCCUCGACAAUCUUUUCAAAUUGAAAAGAUGACAAAGUAGUUUAGUUUACUGCAUCUGCUGAAUUACUUGAAAAUGAUACUGCUAUUAUUCUGAAUGUGUUAAUGCUAUGAUUAAACAGUAUAAUAGUUAUAUGAGCAUAUUGGGCGAACAGAUUGUUUCUAUACAUGAUAGAAUUGAUAAAAUAUUUUCUAAAUUAAAGAAAAUAGAUUAUGGUGAUUAAAAAAAAGUCUUUCUUUUUACCACUAAUAUCCAACCUGCCCCUGAUAUUAAAGACUUAAAAUUAAAUAAAGAUUUAAAAGAUUCAGAGAAAUUAUUAGAAGAAAAAUUUCAUGGAUUAAAAAAUAAUCCUAUAAGCAACCAUAAUAGUAUUAAAGAUAAUCAUGAGAUUCCUAGUGAUAUUCGUAAAAUCUCAGAGAAACAUGCUAAAAAAUCAAUCCAAAAGAUGUACUACUAUCCUACACCUAUUCUCCAGAUUUUUAUUGGAAGAACAAGAGAUAAUAGUCUCUAAUAGUUAUAAUGGAAAUGAAAUCUAUUAACAAAACAUAGAUGAUUACACUGAGAGACAGAUUUCUAUAGUAGUACAUUGAAUGUUGAUGUAUAGUACAAUUUGCAAAGUUCACAAAACAGUGAUAAAAUUAUUGCAGAAAUUAUUAUUGCUGGAUUUAUUGAUCAGUUAAAGGUUGAUGGGAUAAUUAUUUAACCUUAGAUCAGUGUUUCAGGAUAUUACAGUCAAUUAAGAAUGAAGAUGAUCAACUUGUUCAGAAUGUUGUUUACUUUAGUCCUUAAUAUUAUGGAACAUUUUUCAGGAAGAUGAUAUGAUAAUAGUGAGAUCAUUAUCACUAAAUCCGACGGUAUCUCCC